rnacentral:lncRNA from 1 species
CUAGCAAAACCAAAUGUAUUUUAAUAUAACUUGUGCACCUAUCCUUGAUAAACUUUCUUAUAAGGUUUAUUUGGAGCAUCAAUGACUGCUUCAAAUGCCAGCCCAGAGUCUUUGGCAUAUCGUCUGCCACCGGGAAUAUCAGUGAAACAAUGACAGUCUUCAGUGAAGCUGUGGCAGUGUGAGGAUGUUGAUUAAUUUCAUUUUCAAUAACACUUCAAGAAUAAUAGUCCAUGGAAUUUAAAUAUGAUGAGUUUAAAGGCUACAAUUAAUGUUAUAUGAUCGUAAAGAUUGUGCAACAUCCAUUCUUGGGUUACAUGGGUUUUUGAGAAGUUGCUGAGUCUUGUUGAAACAUGUAUGGUGUUGCACUGUGUACUUUAUCCAGCCAGAGCUUAACAACUAUCUUCAGUAACCCCAACAAAUCCAGCAACAUUAGUUCUAAGAUCCUGUGGAAAGUUGUGAGGUGACAUAACACGAGCUUGGUUACUCACCACUCUUAAAACUAUCACAAUUGCUGGAAACUGUGUGUGUGCACCACUCUAAGUACAUCAGAAGGAUCUGCGUAUAAUUUCUCCUGUUAGACUUUUGGUCUUGGUUGAUGUUUUUCUCAUCAGAGAAGAACCAAAGCAUGCCAUUUUGAUGAGGAUUUUUAACCUUAAGUAACCAUUUGGUAUGGCUCUAAUAGUUUUCCUGUAUCUUUGCAGACAUGAAUUAGCCCCCCCCCCCCCGGCUCAGUACAUAGGACUUGCAUUGAAUGUCCUUAUGAACUGCAGUUCAGGUAGUUCACUCUGACACCUGAAGUUCUUUGAAAAUGAUCUCAUUGGUUUUCUUGGAUGAAUUGUGGUGUCUUCACAAUGUCUGAACUUUUAGAAUGUGUCUCCCCCACCACCACCACGUUCUUUGAUAUAAUUAAAACCUUCCAAUUCUAUCUGAACUUUAUCUUCAAAAAUUCUUGUAACAUUGAGAAAGCUGGCAAUUUUUAAAUUUCUGCAAAUAAGGCAACAAUGACUGCAUAUCUUUUCAUUUCAUAUGUGAACAUUUUAUCUGCCAUGGGAGAUCUGAAAGAAAUAAAAAUUUUUAGUUGGUUUGAUGAGAUUAAAAUACUGAUAAUUUCCUCAAAUAUUUCUCAUAACCUAUACAGAUAGAUAUAAAUAUAUACAUAUAUCUAUAUUAUCAUCAUAAUUUUUUUGACAUGUGCUUUUCUUUGCUUAUCUGACUCAAAUGAAAAUCAUUGAGGUAGCUUGGUGAAAUGUACUUCACGUCCCCAACAUUCCCUGAUUUCCAAGUAACGUAAUAUUUUCCCAAGCACAUUGAACAUGCACAACAAACAUAGCUGACCAUGAUUUCAUAGAUCGCAAAUGAAUGUAUAAUGGUGACAGUCAUCCACAUUAAGUGCAUGACACACACACACACACACACACAUGGAAGAUUGGUAACACUUGUAAAAGGAUAACAAUUAUCACACAACUCGUUACAGUUAUCCUCUUGUUUUCAGACAAUCUGAUUGUCUUCUUUAAUUUUGGGAGAAUUCUUGUGAUUAUUUCCCUGUAUCAAUUGCCACUGAAGGGUCGGUCUCCCUUCUCUAGAAGCAGAGAUGUUUUUAAUAAAUCCAGGAUUUAUUUUGCAUGUUAUUUAACAUAAACUUUUUUGACAUCACCAUUCAAAUAUAUUCCAGUGGCCACUCUAGUUUCUUUCCUUUCAUUUAUGCAAAUUAUCUAAAGCAUAAAUGUUUUCUAAACUAUUUUAUACAUGCUAAGUGUAUACAAGUGUUCUGCUCUUUCUUGAAUAUGUCUCAGCUACUGAUGAUAAAGUAGGUCUAUUGCUAAUAAGUGAAGGCACAUGGCUUAGUGGUUAGGGUAUUUGGCUCAUGAUCACAAAGUUGUGAGUUCAAUUCUCUGCGGUGCAUUGUAGCCUUGAGCAAGACACUUUAUUUCACAUUGCUCCAGUCAUCUCAGCUGGCAAAAACGAAUAGUACCUGUAUUUCAAAGGGCUGUCCUUGUCUUGCUCUGUGUCAUGCUGGAUCUCCCUAAGAACUACAUUAAGGGAACAUAUGUCUGUGGAGUACUCAGCCACAUGCAUAUUAAUUUCAUGAGCAGGCUGUUCAAUUGAUCGGAUCAACUGGAACCCUCGUCAUCGUAACUGACAGAGUACCAGUUUAUCGCUGCUGAUGAUUAUUAAAACAGAAACAUGUGCCUACUGCUGUCCUCUUAUCUCCAAACAAUCAGACUGGCUUUUCCUCAAUAACAUACCAUGUUUGGAGAAUUCCUUCUUUUUGAGAUUAUCUUCCCUACACAUUUGGAAUUAGUACCAAUUGCCUCUAAGCUGGGAUCUGCUGUCCCAGGAGACAAAAAUACUUAUAAUCACUUGUGAAUAUAUUUUGUAUGUUAUUUAAAAUAACUUUAUUUGCCUUGAAGCAUAUGUAUGUAUACAUACAUAUGAAGCAUAUGUAUGUAUACAUACAUAUAGCUCAAGGCAAAUAAAGUUAUUUGUUGUUUGUUAGAGUUUUAUCUAAGUUCUCCUUAAGAAGGUUCAAGCGAAUCACUAACAAAGCAACAAGACUUUUUAAGUUAAGAAAGUUAUCAGUGUUUGUUAAUACGUGACUGAGGUGGUGUGUUGGUUGAGCUGUUUAUGUACAUGCCAAAUACGAGCAUCAAUUCAUCUAAAGAAUCUCAGAUGGUGAAUCUUUGAAAUGUCUUACAAAUCUUCACUGUGCCAUUGAUAGAUUGAAUUUGGAGAAUGUGUGUCAGUUUCUUUUUAUCUUUCUUCAAAAAACUAGUACUUCUAAUUUUUUUUGUGUGUAUAUAUAUAUAUAUACACAUACAUACACAUAUAUGUAUAUUACAUACUUAUAUAUAUACAUGUACAUAUAUAUGUGUUUGUAUGUAUAUAUAUAUAUUUUCAAACUGUCCAACUUAUGCACUUAUGCCAGCAUGGAAGAUGGACAUUAAAUGAUGAUGAUGAUUUUAUAUAUAUAUAUAUAUAUAUAUAUAUAUAUAUAUUAUUUAUAUAUAGAAUACAUUAAAAGUCAGUUUUAAUCUUGCUUGCUUGCUUGCAAUGUUACCCAGCCAAACUGGCGCAUAAUGGGGAAAAUACUAUGAAUUAAGUUUACCCUGAAAUGUUAAUACAAACGGAAUAAAAAAAAAGUUUUGUGUAAAUCUGACAAGUGGUUUUUAAGAUAUUAAAGGUUUUUUGGGGUAUAAAUACUCAAAAUGGUGCAUAAUGGGAAAAUAUUCCAAAAGUAAUCUUAAUCCUGAAAGGGAAGAAACUCUUAUCUUUCGAUUAGACACUGACUUGACAGCAAAAAAAUAUGAUUUAUUUCUUUACAGUAAAUGUUUCUAUUUUCGAUUUUGUUAAAGACAAUAUUUUAAUCAUUUUGAAAUAUUUUUAAGUGAAUGGGAUUUCAAAACAGUAAGUUGUUUGUACAGAACGUAUUUAUAUUUGAGCUUUCUUUAAAGAGACAAUUUUUUUUUUUUUUAAUUAUUUUCAAGUGCAUAUCAUUACAAAAACAUUUUUUUUUGCGUAUUUAAAAAAUACUUUGAAGUGAAAAUGACUUUAAAAAUACGGUAAAUAUUUCAUAAAAGACCCAUUUGUAACCUCAGUGGGAAAUAGAUUUUUCCAUAGAAUUUUUCAAGUGCAGACAAUAACAGGGGAAUUUAAGAUGGGCUGCCCCUAGCAAUUCCUCUGUGCUGACGACCUUGCUCUUAGGGUCAAAUCACUACCAGAUCUAGAGAAGAAGUUUCAGGCUUGGAAGCAAGGUCUAGAAUUAAAGGGCCUUAGAGUUAACCUAGCAAAAAAACCAAAGUCUUAGUAAGUAGGAAGGUGGACAAAUCACAAAUCCCUUCGGGCAGGUGGACCUACUCAAUGUGUAGAAAAGGCGUAGGUAGAAACUCCAUAAGAUGUGCCCAGUGCAAGCUAUGGACACAUAUGAGAUACAGCAAUAUCAGAGGAAGUUAACUGGAAAAAUAGUUUUUGCGUGUGGAUACAAUAAACAUUAAAAAUGUACAGAAAAUAGACUUUAUUAACUGCCAGUGUAGUAAACUAGAGGUAGUAGAUAGCUCCCAUCAUCUAGGUGACCAACUCAGCAGAGAAAAAGAAUAGGCUGGGCAAAGUUCAGAGAGCUCCUACCUCUGUUGACAACAAAUGGCCUCUCCCUCAGAGUGAAAGGCAGACUGUAUGAUGCCUGUGUGCUAACAGCUAUGCUACAUGGCAGUGAAACAUGAGCUGUGACUACUGAGGACAUGUGUACGCUUGAAAGAAAUGAAGCUAGUAUGCUUUGCUGGAUGUGCAAUGUCAGUGUACAUGUAUGACAGAGUGUAAGCAUCCCGAGAGAAAAGUUGGACAUAAAAGGCAUCAGAUGUGGUGUGCAAGAGAGAUGAUUGCACUGGCAUGUGAUGUGUAUGGCUGCAUUGACAUGUGAUGUGUAUGGACGAGGACAGCUGAGUGAAGAAGUGCCAAUCUGUAACUGUAAAGGGAAGCUGUGGUAGAGGCAAACCCAGGAAGACAUGGGACCAGGUGGUGAAGGAACUGGCACCCAUACCGGUGGAACAUAAGAGCACCCAUUAUACUCUUGAAGUAGAUGGCAUUAGGAAGGGCAUCCAGCUAUAGAAACCAUACCAAAUCAGACCAGAGUCUGGUGCAACCCCUCAGCUUACCAACCCUGGUCAACAGAUGUUAAAUGAUGAUGAUGAUGAUAUAUAUAUAUAUAUAUAUAUAGCACAAAGAAGAAUAGCAAAUAAUAUAUUUAUUUUAUAAUUUGUAGUCUACAAUUUGCUUACGCAUGUUCUGAUGAAUUAGUGUUACAUAAUACAGUGAUGUGUUAAUUCAGCACUUUAAUUGAUCCAUUAUUCAUUGACUACAGUAUUACACUGACCUGAAAAAUCAACUGUAGCUCAUCCUUCUCACAGUGUCUAUACUACAAAGAAUGUAGUUAAGUAAUUAUGGAUCAAUUUAAGUGCAGAAUUUACACAUCAGUGCUUUUUGUAAUGCUAACUCAUCUGAAAUGCAUAUAAGUAAAUUAUGGAUUACAAAUUAUCGAAUAAAAAUAAAAUUCACCAUUCUUCUUUGUAUUUUAUUCUAUACUCUGAAAUCUUCAAAAGCAAACUUUGGAUUUAUUAAUCAAAAUGGAGUACAAUAGUAAUCACUGGUUUAUAAAGUUCACAAUGGUUAUCACUCAUUGAUCUCGUAACCAAAUGCUAUUACUACAGAGUGCUGUGAAAAAAGUAUUCACUAUUUACUAUUCUUAUUCCUUUGCGCACUUGAUGGCCCUUGGUGGGAUGCCAUCUAAUCCUGAUGCCUUGCCAAUAGGGAGACAGUGAAUUCUUUACUCUGUUUCCCAGCAGACAUUCCAUGGUGUCAAGCAAACUAUUUGAGUUGGUGUUUUUUUGUAAACAAACAAAAGGGAACACAGUGUAAAUAAUGGAGAGUCACCAACUAUAGAAAAGGUUGCAAGACGCAACGAAAAUUUUAGGAAAUAAAAAUAAGAAAAAUGUGGAAAUUUUACCUGUGAGUGUGUUACAUUAUAAGGCACAAAAAGAAAAUGACUCUCCCCAGACACAACAAAAAUCAAAAUGUUGUUGAAGAAAAGUGUUUAUGGAAUUAUAACAGAACACUGACAUUCUUUAGAAAGUGGCAUGUAAGUGCUACUAUGAGAGGCUGCUAAAUACAGAGAAUGUAUGGGAAAGAGGGAACAACAACGAUCAUGACUUCAUGCCCAGGUCCCACACAUGGCCCCUUGACAAUUACUCACCCACCCUUAUCCAAGUUGCCUUUCCAAUGCCAUUGAUUGCCCUGCAGCCCUAACACCUCAUAUCUGGAACCCAAUCUACUACAUACUCUUUCCCCUUACCUGCCACACAUCAUCCUUCCCCUGCACCAUUCUUCAUCUCUUCUGCUGCUCCCUACUUGACCCUGCCACCACUUAUUUCCUCUUUAUCCCACCCAUUCUUUCCUUUAAGCUUACCCACAACCUAAACGGCCUUCCCUUCUCAUUCACGGCCCUUCUCUUAUCCCAUCUCCCUUCUGGAUCCUUUCCUUGUUUCUGCCCCCACUACUAUACCCGCCCUUUCAUUUCCACCACAAUCAUCUUCAUUGAAUCCAACUAACACACCUUUCACAUUAGGGAGCUUGCUCAAUCUGCCCCCCCCCCCCCGCCCCUGACAAUCUCUUCACUUAUCCACACAUACUGGGGCAUGGAUGCACACACACACACACCAAUUCUUUACCCUCACUCCCCCCCCCACUCUCUGCCUGUUCACUCAUUCUUCAACAUUUCAGCACUCCUCUUCCAGAUGACAUCUUUCAAUCACACCUGUCUUCCUCACCUUCCACCAAUCAUCUCUGAUUGACUGCCUUUCACUACUUCUUACCUCCCUCUUCAUUCACACACCACUUCUCUUGCUGAUUCUUUCUCUCACAAUCCAAUUUCCUCUCAAAAACUACAAAAAAAGACUAAUUUUCUUCCCUCCACCAUUUUGCUUUACAUCUGACUUUUCACCUCCUCCCUUAUUUUUCUCUUCCAAGGAUAUUCCUUAGCAUCCUCUGGGCAAUCUAUCAAACACUCUGCAACUUUGACCAUUCUAUUGACAUUCCUUCUCUUCACAGAAUUUUUGUUUCACUUUUAAAUUUUAGUUUAAAAUCCUUUUCUCUUGCCAUACUAUGAACUUCAUCACUCCUUUUAUUCCCUUACACUUUGCACACACUCCUUACAUACAGGCUUUCUCUUCCCCACCUAAUAACUACACAUAUACAGGAACCAACACCCUGUAUCCCCACUGAGGAAUGCCACUACACUUCCACACUGUCAAACCUCUCUCUCUCUCUCUCUCUCUAUAUAUAUAUAUAUAUAUAUAUAUAUAUAUAUAUAUACACAUAUACCACACUAACACACACACACACACCCUCCUUAUGUUUACUACUUUCUUUUGUUGUCCCUUUUAAUGUUCAUUGCAUUUACAUCACUACAUGUAUGCACACACACACGCACGCGUGCUUGCAGUGUCUCUGCCUCCAUUGUAGUAAAAUAUGGCACUGAAAGAAAAUACUGUUAAUGGACCAGAAUAUAAUAAAUAAAAUUCUGUCCAAAGUAUGUUAUAUAUGCAAAUUGUUUUUAUAUGAUUUACCUGACAUCAUAUCACAUCUCCGCAUGUCACAUUUCAUUGCAUCACCUUUCAUUAUAUCACAUCUCACCACAAUGCACCACAUGACCUCGCACAACAUCACUUCGCAUCAAAUUUCAUAGCACCAUAUCACAUUACAUCACACCAUCUCUUCUCACAUCAUCUCACAUCUCGUUGCAUCACCUUACAUCUCAUCUCAUGACUUCCGUUGUUUCAUCUCACAUCAUUUCACAUCACCUCUCAGUGCAUAACAUCAUCUCUAAUUGCAUCAGCCCCCUCCCCCUCUCCCUCACAUCCAUUCUCAUCCCAACCCUUAUUUUCUUUCAUCUCUUUUCACUUCUCAUCCCAUUACCUUUCAUCACUAGUUUGAUGUUUCUUCUUCAUUCUCUCUUACAAUUUGAAAAUAUCCACAGUUCAGCUUCUCUGUGUCUGUCCAACUCUACAAAUGUAAACAAUUGCAUGUGUGAGUUGUAUGCAACUAAAUGCGUACUUGAUUGUAUGCAUGUAUGCUGCUGUAUACAUGUGUGUAUUUAUCCUGUACGUGAAGUAGCAUAUGUGAUUUUAUAUAUGUAUGUAUAUGUGUGUGUGUGUGUGUGUGUGCGUACAUGCGUGUCCACGCAUGUGUGAAAUUGUUAGUCAAAAUCAAAUUGCAUUUCAAUAAAUCAUCAUCAGAUCCAGUUCUUUAUGGGUUGGACCAAUCUGAAUGUAAUUAUAUCAUAUUCAAUACUUUAAUCUUUGUUUUGAAGUUUUGCAAAAUUUCUUAUAUACAAAAGUGUGUGUAUGUAUAAUACAUUUGUCUGUGUAUAUAGGUGUGUAUGCAUAUGCAGUAGCAAUUAUACAAUCUGUAUGUAUGCAUGUAUAUAUGUGUAUAGACAUGUAUAAUAACACUUAUAUUAUAUGUGUGAAUACCUGUUUAAGAGCAAUUAUACAACUUACAUGUAUGCUUGUGUAUAAGAACAACUAUACAACCGAUAUACACAUAUGCGAAUGUAUAUAUGUAUGUUUGUGUGCAUAGAAGAGCAAUAAUGCAACUAAGACCGAUUACACAAGCUAUUCCACGAGUAAGAGGAUUUUGGUAAAAAUGAAAUAAUGAAAGAGUGAUGAUGGAGAGCUUCUUACAAGACAAAAAAGACCAAGUUUAAGAACUUUUGUUUUAAACAAAAAGUGAUUUCACUCAAGUUUUAUAUUUAAUAUUGAAUUGAACCUUUAUACAAACCUGAUGAAGUUUGUUUGUAUUCUAUCAUUUUCUGCUGAGAGGUCUCCAUUAAUCUCUACAUUUUUUAUGCAUUAUUUCAUCCCAAAACUCAGUUUCAAAUCUUUCACACAGCAUCACAAUAUGCACGCUUACAUAUAAAUAAACCUCCCAAAUGGUUGUCACCAUUCGAUAUAUUAAGCACAUACUUUAUUCUCAGUCUAUAAUAUAUAUUGUAGCUAUACACAUAUUAGUUUCAAAUUUUCACACCAAGCCAGCAAUUUUGGGGGAAUGGGUAAGUUGAUUACAUCGACCCCAGUACUCAGCUGGUACUUGUUUUAUCGACCCUGAAAGGAUGAAAGGCAAAAUUCACCUUUGGCAGAAUUUGAACUCAGAACCUAGAGACAUAUAAAAUGUCAUGAAGCAUUUUGCUUGAUGUGUUAAUGGUUCUGUCAGCUCAUCACCUUCUUACAUUUUAAUACUUCAACUAAGUUAAUGUGUUCACUAAAUCCAAAGAUUGACCACCAGUAUAGAUAUGGUUUUGAUUCCCAGACUAAGUGGUGCAUUGCAUUCUGGAGUAAAACACUUCAUUCCCCAGUGACUUCAACAUAUCACAUGUAGCACUCCAUACACAUGGACAGGCAAGGCUGAUUCCACAUGUGAGUAAGCUCAUGAACAGCACAAACAUUUGAACUUUCUGCAAAAUAUUGCUGAGUCAUCUUUCUCUGAUUCAAGAGACUAACAAGAAAAACAUAAAGGUACAUAGAUCCAGACUCUUGUAAUUAGUGAACAUUUCUUGUCAUUUGACCAAUACUUUGCCACAUCCUCUCUUUUUAGCUAUAAAUAUAUCCCACUUGCUUCCUGUACCAGUACAAUUACUUCCCACGCACUUCCUGUACUGGCAUGAUUAAAUCCCACACACUUCCUGUUUAGGUAUCGUUAAAUACUACACACUUCCUGUUUAUGUAUAAUUAAAUCCCCCACACUUCCUGUUUGGGUCCAAUUGUAUAAAUGUAGCAUACUUCCUGUUUACAUAUGAUUAAUAAGAAUGCACUUCCUGCACAGAUGCAAUUAAGUCCCACGUACUUCCUGUUUAGGUAUAAUUAAAUCCUACAUAACUCCUGCUGAGAUGUAGAGAGAUCGUUUCUGAUGCCAACAUUUAUUUUGUAGCAGAACCACAUGCAUUCGUAUUCUUUUGUGCAUGUGUGUGUGAGUUGUGGAUGGCUGAAACACCAGUUAAGAUCCCUUUUAGCCUAUAAUCAAAGGCAUUUCAAUCAUGGCCUUAUUGUCUUUCAUCAGAUAGAGAAUAUCUAAGACUACCUUACACAGCAUGUAUUUUCAUAUUUAGACAAUAGUGUGUGAUUUCAACGAUAUUUGAUUGCUAUUUCUCGUAGACUGAGUGAUCAUGGGAUCAUAUAGAGGUUCCCUUAUUGGUUGUUGUUCUUUAGUGUCUGGUCAUCUCUGGUGGUGGUUUUGGUGGUAGUCUGAUCCGUUCUAAUACAUACACUAUAUUCUCUCACUAUAUUUGUCUUAUGAAUAUGUGUGUGCACACACAUAUAUAGUUUAACCCUUAGCAUUCAAAUUUCUCUAUCAAAUGUAACUGGCACUCCAUUGGUUAUGGUAACGAGGGUACCAGUUGAUCCAAUCAGUGGAACAGCCUGCUUGUGAAAUUAACGUGCAAGUGGCUGAGAACUCCACAGACACAUGUACCCUUGAUGUGGUUCUUAGAAAGAUUCAAUGGAACACAGAGUGCAACAAGGCUGGCCCUCUGAAUUGCAAGUACAACUCAUUUUUAUCAGCUGAGUGGACUGGAGUAACAUGAAAAAAAGUGUCUUGCUUAAGGACACAGCCAGGCAUGGAACUCAUGACUUUACAAUCGUGAGCCAAAUACCCGAACCACUAAACCACUAAACCUUCUAUCAAAUGUAAUGCUUAUUUAUUCACAUUGAUAAAAACUAGUCAUGCAUUACCUUGCAGCUUUGAAAUUUCAAUGAUGUGGUUAUUUAUUGUAGGGUAGCAUCAUAGUUGGAACUUAUGCAUCCAUUGGUUAACUUUACUCUGAUACCAUUAAAAGAAGUCUCAAUAUUUUGGAGCCAGAAGAUCCCGGCAUUAAAAAUCACCCCAUUACCAUCACCAUCACUUUAACAUCUACUUUUCCAUUCUUAUGUGGGUCUGACGAAAAUAGACGGGAGCUUUCUUGUUACUAACCUCUACUUGCUUCAAGGUAGGCAAUGAUGUCCCAGACAUGUUUUAUGUGGGGAACUUGAAACAAACAACACCAUAUGAGUCUUUUAUUUACAAACUAGUAACUGAUAAAAAGGAUAAACAUCAGUGAUAUCAUAGCCAGCUAUAAGACCACUCAUGUAGCCACCAGCCACAUGAACAACCAUAUGAUAAACUCUAAAGCAAAAUCACAUGACUACAGGCUGAUAAUACUUGUCAAAAGGAAAAUAUAUUCACAGCACUACUAACAAUAUUAAAUGUGACCAACAACUUUGAAAACUCUGACCAUCGUUGACCCACUUGAGAUUUUUCACAAAGUUCAUUUUCUUGUAAUUAUGCAAAUUUUAUCAGAUAAAAGUUUUUGAAACUCAUACAAUUUCUACAACUGUACUUGUAAAACUCAAUGUGUCCAGCAAUGAAAGCAGUGUGAAAAGAUCAUUUCCCUCAUAAGAGCUAAUAAGAUUAAAACAUGUCCAUAACUGUAACCUUGCUGGCGAACAAAGUUCACAUUUUCCUCUAAAAUAACAAAAUACAAUUUUUUUAAAACUUGGCUUUAAAUGUGUUGGAAUUUUCUCCUCUUUUCUUUAAAACUCAUUAAUAGCUAUUGCUUGGUUUUUAGUUUGCUUUUUUUUCCAACUAAGAAACUGUUAAUUCAUUAAAAAUAUUUCAUGUGUGUCUACUUUCUAUUGCAAUCAAAUGUCUAUUAAAUAUAUUUAUAUUGUAUAUAUAUAUAUAUAUAUAUAUAUAUAUAUAUAUAUACUUUAUUUAAAGCAGCAGAAAAUUCAACAAAACCUGUUACCCUGAGUUUCACAUUGCCGUUCAUCGGACAGUUACUCAGAGUAACAGGUUUUGUUGAAUUUUCUGCUGCUUUAAAUAAAGCAUAUUACUCUACCACUGGUAUUUGAGUACUCUUUUUUCCACCUUGUUUCACAUUUAUGUGUUUACUCCGGUAUAUAUAUAUAUAUACAUAUUGCUAUCCAUUUUCAAAUAUUCAGGUCAACUCUCAUCCCUCCCUCUCUGUUUCUGUGUGUGUGUGUGUGUGCAUGAGUGUAUGCAUUCAUCUGCAUAUAUGUGUGUGAUUGCAUGCUUGUGUGUGCUCAUAGUUGUUUUCACACAUAAUUCUUGUUUCUGCUUUAUUGUUGAAAGAAUCCAAAACAACUGUUUGAAUCUGUAAUUUAAAGCUCUCACUGUUUAUACUGGUUUCCUGAAGAUGAAUUAUAUGUCUCUGGAAAUAUCUUUUUUUAAUGUACAUAAUACAUACACCAUAAUCCGUGAUGUAUUAUGGGAAAUAUAAGUAGACAUUGCAUAAAUGAACAUUUGCAUUAUAUUAACAUGUGUAAAAUAGAAUCACAAGAAUUUCUGCAACUCCAAUAAUGCAUUUUGAAAUACCUGGUUAUUGCAGUAUAUUCUGUUGUGUUUUUUGUAAACACUCAGACUGGAUUAUAAACAGCAAUUAUUCAGUGCACCGUUUGAUGCUGAUGUCAGCUACACUGAGAUAAAUCCAACUGGAAGCCUUAGCACGAAUCAAGAAUGUUGAUAAUUCCCAUCUUGUAGAAUAGUUCAAGUUCUUCAGAUUUUAUGUUUUAUGUUACUGGGUUUGAAUCAGUAAAUAUUGUGGUAUGGUGAGUUUUGUGGACUUCUAAUGCAGAGUAUUUUUUAACCUGUAUCCUGUUACAGUCAUUAGACCGUGGCCAUGCUGGGGCACUGCCCCAAAGAAAUUUUUUUAAUUGAAUGAAUCAACUUAUUUUUAAAGCCUAUAAAAUCUUCUGGGAAGGUAACAGUGAUGGAGUAGGGGGUGUAGGCAUACUCCUUGAAGAGAAACGGGUGGAUAAGGUCAUAAAGGUAGUCAGGGUAUGUGAUAGAGUGCUUAAGCUCAGGCUAGUCCUGCAGAAUAGUAUAAUGACAAUUAUCUCUGCCUACGCCCCACAAGCAGGCCUACCAAAUGAUCAGAAGGACCACGUUUAUGAUACCCUUCUACAGGCUACCUCAAAAUGAGUGGCAAUGACCUCAUCUUUGCGACUGGAGAUUUUAAUGGGCAUGUUGGAUGGCAAUCUGGUGUUCACGGGGGCCAUGGGAUUAGUUCCCAAAACAAAGAGGGAACUAGGCUAUUGGAGUUCUGCACCGUUAAUGACAAGACUGAGAACUUCCCAUGCCCGUAGUGCCUGUGAAAGUUGCAGAGAGUGUGGGGCCUUAAGCAAACAAAACAACAUAGGGUGGACAUACAAAAUUUUAAAAAAUGUAAUUUAAGAUGAAAUAAAUAGGAAAUUAGCAAAAUACAGCUUUAGGGCCAAAAGGACAAGAACGGUGGGUAACACUGAGGAGAAAUCCUAAAGGAUAUAGAGAACAGCUAAUAGCAAAAUGCAGAGAAAUUCUACAACCAGUCAGCUAUGGAACCGUUGUGAAAAAGGAAGAGAAUGAAAGGAAAGCAGGCCACAUGUCACAUGUCAGCAGCGGGUAGAGGAGAAAGAAGAUGAGAGAGAGAGAGAGAAAAUAGGGGAAGGAGAAAGGAGAAAGGCAACAAAUACAAGUGAGAGGGCAAGAGAGAGAAAAAAGGGAAAAGGCUAGAAAUAGAAGUAGGAGGGUGAGAGAGAGAGGGAAAAGGAGAAAGAGUGAGAGCAAGAAUAGAGUUGCACAAACAUAUAAGAUAAUGCAUUUUUUCAUUUAUAAUACACACACACACACACAUAUACAUGCAAAGUUUAGGUUAGUUAACAUAUGUCUGUGAUAUAUUUCAACUGCUAAAAGGCAAAUUCACUGCAGUUACCAUGGAGAAAAUUUUCUCUUAUGGUAAGAAGGUGUAAAAUCCCCAUAUCUGUCCAAUGUCGCCAUCUAUCAGGACAUCAAUGUUUCUAGCUCCUAAGCUGUUAUCAAUGGGAAAUACCUAAGGGAGGCAACUUUGGACAGACCUUAUUGAAGCUAUAUCUUUAACUAAAAUACAGUCAACAACAUUGACUGAUUUGUACCAGUAGACUGCCAGGUCCUGGAAUUUAUCCUAAUAUUAGCACCAAGCAGAGUUUAGGUUAGUUAAGAUAUGUUUGUGACAUAUUUCAAGUGUUAAAAGACAAAUUCACUGCAGUUAGUGUGGAGGAAAUAGUCUUUUAUGGUAAAAGGUGUAAAAGCACCAUAUCUGUCCAGUGUCGCCGUCUAUCAGGAUUCUCACACAACUAAGACAAUGUUUGGAAAUCCUGAUAGACGACGACACUGGACUGAUAUGGUGUUUUUACACCUUUUACCAUAAAAGACUAUUUCCUCCACACUAACUGCAGUGAAUUUGUCUAUUAACACUUGAAAUAUGUCACAAACAUAUUUUAACUAACCUAAACUCUGCUUGGUGCUAAUAUUACAAUAUGUGUGUGUGUGUGUGUGUGUGUGUGUGUGUGUGUGCAUGUGUGUGCAUGUGUAAGGUGAUCUAAUAAAAUCAUUAGCAUACUGGGCAAAAUGCUUAGCAGCACUUGAUCUAUUUUUACAUUCUGAGUUCAAAUUCCAGCAAGGUCCUUUAGAGUUUGAUCAAAUAAAUGCCAGUUGAGCUCUACUGGGGUUGAUCUAAUUUACUUAUCCUCCUACCCCAAACUUACUGGCCUUGUGCAAAAAUUGAGACCAAAAUAUAUAUAUCAUCAUCAUCAUCGUCAUCAUUUAACGUCCACUUUCCAUGCUGGCAUGGGUUGGAUGGUUUGACUGAGGGCUGGCAAGCCAGAAGGCUGCACCAGGCUCCAAUCUGAUCUGGCAAAGUUUCUACAGCUGGCUGCCCUUCCUAAUGCCAACCACUCCAUAUAUAUCAUGUGUUUGAAAAAAUUAAUCUAUCGUGCUCAAACAUACUAGAAGAAAUCUUCUUUCCAAAAAGUUGGUAACAUUCUGUUAAAAAAUUCUAUAACUUUUUUUAAAAAAUAACUUUUUAAUAAAAUACCUUUUAUACUUAAAAACUGUUUUGAGUAAUUUUAACAAAGACUUUCAAAUAUAUAUAUAUAUAUAUAUAUAUAUAUAUAUAUAAUAUAUAUAUAUAUAUAUAUAUAUAUAUAUAUAUAUAUAUAUAUGUAUAUAUAUAUAUAUAAAAGCAAUAACACAGAUGGGUUGAGGUUCACUACUGUUGUUUCAGACAUGUUCUUUAUUGUCAGGCUUACAAAAAAAUGAGUUCUGGGGUCAAUUUGUUCAACUAAAGGCAAUGAUCCAGCAUGGCCACAGUCAAAUGACUGAAACAAAUAAAAAGAGCAUGAAAAAAAAUAGAUUCAUUUGAAAUUUAGCUUUCUGUUAUUGUGUGAGUUUUUAAUUCAGAUAAAAUGCCUGACUGCCAUUUAAUUUGUGUUUUCCAAUGACUUGAAAAAUACAAAUUGCUGGUUAUAAUGGCAUUAAAUAAUAUUAUAAAAAUGUACCUAGUCUUCCGUUAUUUCUAUAACUAUUUACUGGAGUAGAAUGAAUAUUUUUAUGGUGACAUGCAGUGGACCUUAUAUGUAAAAUGUACAUCAUACAGGGGUUGGUCAAAAUAAUGGAAACACUUUAAAAUUUUUCUCAAAGGCUGUCAUUACUUUCAAGACAGUACUUCUCGAUACACCAAACAUUUUGGCUGUUUUCAUUACGCUAACACCUGCCAUACGAACACCAACAAUUUGACCUCUUUGAAAGUCCAAUAGAUCUGUCGUUUUAAUGAAUUUUAAUUACCUUUUUCUAAUGAUAUCUGAAAAGAAAUAGCAGUUUUAGCAAAACUUAUUAAGCAACACAAAUAAUAAAUCAGAAAAUAUAAAAAUAAACAAGCUUUUGCUAGUUUUAUAGAUCCUUCAAAUUUAUGAUGCUAUGAUGCUAGGUGUUUCCAUUAUUUUGUCCAUCCCCUGUAUAUCCAACUGUGUUUACAUUUCUAGGUUCAGUAUUACAGGGUCCUACGAUUGUUAGCAUACUGUUAUCAUAACAAAGAUCUGUCUCACAUUGAAUCCUCUACCACUUCACUACUGUGACACAGAUGCUAGUGUAUAGAAUAUAGUCAUGCUGUCCUUGGUUCACUUCAUAUAUGGGCAGUUAACAUUCGUUAAGUAGUGACAUUAAUUAAUACAGUUACAUUAUUGUAGAUUACCCAGAGUUUGUGAGAGUUGUGUUUAGAGAACUUCUUUAUGAACUUUAUUUUUUCUGAAAGUCAUUGAUAUUUAGAACUGAAAUUUUAUCUUUAACAUUGGCAACAACAUCUCAACUAAAUAUCUAAUGACUGCACUGGUGAUGAUAAGGCUUUUAUUCUAUGCGGGGAAACGUACCGUCAGUUGAUUCACCCAGUAUAUUAAUGAUACUAAUGACUAAAUAUUACAGUCUUUACUUGUAGAUAAAAUAAAAACCAACAUGCUACCGUCAGUAAUAUUCUACCUGAUCAAUCACAUAAUUCUAGAUCAAUCAGAUGAUUGUCCAACCAUUUACUUUAAAUGGUCUUAAUGUUUAAUUCAAUAGCUUAUUGACUCAUACAAAAAUCAAUGAAUUACAUGUUCGGUCAUUUACUCUCCAUCAAUACCAAAUAAAUUAUAUUUUAUUCAAUGUCUUUUGUUUUGUUUUUAGUAGCUUUAUUUAUUUCAUAGAAAUGUCUUUUAGUUUUCCAUUCUUCUCGUCAGUGAUUUUAGAUAUUUUCAUAAAAUAGAGUUUACAGGAUUGAGGGUGAAUUGCUCCUUUCUAGCAACAACUCUGAUAAGAAAUGUUUACUAUUCCAAAAUCUAUUCACUUUAUCAAAAAUCCUGCCAACUUAUAUGAUGAGACUGUAAAGUUUCAUUGACAUGUGAAAGAUGAGAACUAAAUGCUGUGACAUUUUGUUGAAGACAUCCAGUUAAUACUGUAGACUUUCCAAUGUUAGGAAACAUAAUAGGUAAGGAUGAAAAGGAAUGGAAAUAGGAAGAGAUUUCUAUUGAAGAUGCCAUCAACUUGAGAGAAGAGAGUAUGGUUAAGCUAAGUUUUUUUUUGUCAUUUCUGAUGAAUUGUAAUAUGAAGAUUUCCUAAAAAGAUAUUGCUAUUAGGUGUGAAGGUAUCCAUUGUGUUGGUUGUAAGAAUUUAUUUCAUCUGAUAUUUACUGGAUGUUGUAAAUGUUGUUUAAAAGAAAACUCGAAAAACAAUUCCCUGGAUAAUUCUCCCCCUGUUUUUAUGGCCAUACGAGUAGACUUGAUGCAAACAUUAACCAUUGUCUACUAACACAUGUAUUGUCACUCUUUGAAGCAAAACUUUAUUGAUUUCUAUCUUAAUCCAUUGAUGCUGUCCAGAUGCCACCUUUUAUUCCAAAAGAUUGUGUUUGUAUCCAUACUCUCUAACAUUGACUUUUAUCAACAGCAACAAUUGAGCAGCAUAUUCUUUGAGUGAGUCAGAUUGGGAGCUCAGUGGAGAUGAUGCUCUUCAUACAAGAAAUGGCCACCAAAUUACAUUAUACCCAGUUACCUUAAAAAAUGAAUCACACAUUGUGUAAUGUAGUCCUAGAUAUAGCUAGAAAUAAUUCUUCUUCAUCUUCUUAGAAUUUACAACUCCUUAAACACCUUUCUCUUCCUCAUCCCUCUAAGUAUUGAAUGCUAAAGACUUCAUCUUUUAAUUGUAAUAGCUAUCCUGUUGCUUCCUCCUGGUCCUUUGGCAGAUUUUAGCUUAGAGCAACAAGCUAAUGAAAUAAUUAAACUAUUUCUUGUUGCUUUCCAUGAUGAACUGUACUUCUUCGUGGAAACCUAUUUACAUCUGUAGGAACAAGAUGCUGGAAAGUCUGGAGUCUUUGCUAAGCUCACAUUCUAGCACUGGUGAUGUAGUAUGUGAUCUUCCAUCAUCUCAGCUAACUGCUACUAUUUACACUUUUCCUGUGGCAGAUCCUACAUGAAUAAUGUUUACCAUGGUUUCCAGGCAUUUCUCUGAUGCCAUAAUCAGUUUGUUCUACACGGAACCAACUGAAAUUUAAAGCAAAUAAUAAUAUUUCACACUCAACUCCAAAUACUAGUGCAAGUGUUAUGGGGGGGGGGAUAAGCAUCGGCAGUGAUGAUCUAUCAAACGUUCCAUAGAUGUCUGGUACCUACCAAUCAUUUAUACAUUCUUCUCAAUAGAUAUUCAAAUGAUGCUGAAUAAGAUCUGCCAUCAUUUCAGUACAUUGAAUAGUGAUUUUAAAUCUCUGUCUUGUCUCCUCUCUUCCACCAUUUUGUUGUCAUUUACACAACUUCUGUAUCAGUUUUUAGUACUUGUUAUUUUUAGAUUCAUAUUCAGAUAUUAUUCUAAUCUUGUUACAUUAUUUAUAUUGCAUGUUUUACACUUUGCAAAAUAUAGAUUUUGGGUUUUUUUCUUUUUUGUUGCCUUAUUGUAAUGGACAGUAUCAGCAACAGCAACAAUAUACAUGUAAGAGCUGAUUUCAGUAGAUAAUAUCUUUUUUUUUCCCCUUCCUUUCAUCUUGGUAUUUGUGACCGAUCACUUACUCUCCAUCACCAUGAUACUUACGGGACAGAAAAGGCAAUGCAUGACUGAACUGGUGACAUGGUAGAAAUAUUUCUUCGACAUGUCCAGGCACAAAGAAAUGGAGACAAUGUAAAGAAGAGACAUCUUGUAAAGAACAAGUUAACAUCUCUAGCACUGGUUAAUGAAUCAACAAAACUCUUAAAUUUUGCAGAAGUCAAGAAAACCACUCUACUGUGGGUGCCACAAUAAAAUAUACCCAACACUUUCUGUAAAGUUGUUGGUGAUAGAAAGAACUUCUUGCCACAAAUAUGGCAAAAUGGAAUGAGGGAGAAGGGAUUUUCCACCCAUUUAUAACAUUUAUAACUCCAAAUAUGGCAAAAUGGAAAAGCAAAUGUGAAUAGAUGAUGGUGGAUAAAAGGGAUUUCAGUGAUGGACCAAGCAGGGAUCCAUAAGUUGGACCCAGAUUCAUUACACUGAAAAAGACCAGAGGUUCUUAGAAAACAUUCUCAAUGCUGCCACUUGGCCUGGUUUCUUGUGGAGUUUUCUGUCAUGGCUUUUGGCUCUAAUGCAAGACUAUUCUACAGGACAAGAGUUUGGCUGUGUCAGGUAGAGUCGUUUAAUUUAUUGUGAUAAAACAAUAAUAUAUAACACUCUCUGAACACAAGAGAGCCUCUACAUCAUUGCUCUACUUGCCAGACUUAACAGAAGAUGAAUUUCUCUUGAAUGGCAUCCUGCUGUCAUCAAAAGAGAGGGACACACUAGGUUAGGCACUCUCAGAUAUACCAUUUUCAAGGAAAAGACAGGAUGGCUGUGAUUGGAAUUUCUUCAGUCAUAAUAGCGGAGUUUGGGAAACAACAACAGAGUAUGCACACACACACACACACACACACACACACACACACACACACACACACACACACACACACACACACACACACACACACACACACACACACACACACACACACACACACACACACACACACACUCCAUUAAUAAAUACACAUUACUCAUAAAGCGAUCCUGCAUUACAUUCUUAUUAUUUUGAAAAUCUCCAAAACUACUUGUUCUCUCUCUCUCUCUCUCUCUCUCUCUAAACACCUCACAACCUCCUGCUGUACCUCUUCUACACCACAUUCCCCACCCUCUAAACACCUCUCACACAUCCCUGCUCUGCCUCUGUUACCUAUUCUACAUCACAUACCUCAGCAAUCUCUAUUAAGUUUUAUAGAGACAAAAAAAACUUUGAUUUUGUAUUACCUGUUUAUCCUGACUCGUAGCAGUCAUAAUAAAAUAGCUUAUCUGCAUCUUCACCCAUACAAUUGCAUCUUCUUGGAUUAACCACAAAAUCUCAUCCAAUGCUCAUCUUACUAAACCUGGAUUAUUCUUUGUAUCAAGAAUUGUUUGAAGAAUACAAAAGAAGAAAGAAAAAAUAACAAUGAACUGCAAUGUUAGAAUUUUAGUUCUGGUUUAUAAAUAUCUCUGCCUUUCCAGUUAAAGAAGACUUAAUUCAAUAUAAAUGCAUUCUUGUUCAGGUUAUAUACAUUUUUUCUGCAACUGUUAAUUGCAUUAAGCCAUAAUACUUAUUUUGAAGUAGAUGUCAAUGUAAUUUGUUAUUUUACAAAGAUGUACUAAGGUAGCAUCACAUAACUUUAUGAAAUAAAAACAAGUAUUUUUUCGAUUACCAAAACAACAAAUCAUAUUUUCUGACUCCUGUAAAAGCUUUGGAAUAACUAUAAAGCAAAUACUUAGCCUAGAAUAUAUAGCUGUGUGUGUGUGUGUGUGUGUGUGUGUGUACACUUACCAUGGAAAAAAAUUCUCUCUUAGCUAUUAUCAAUGGGAAAUAUUGAAAAGGUGCAACUCUGGACAGACCUAAUCAAAGUUGUGGCUUUAACUGAAAUACAGUCAACAUCAUUUACUAAUUUGUGCCAGUAGACCAUCAAGGUCAUGAAAAUUACAGUAAUAUCAGUGCUAAGCAGUGUUUAGGCAUAAGCAAACAUAUAUAUAAGUGAACAAUAAAUUUUUAGGUUGUUUAUGUUUGGUAAAUAUUUGAUUCCAAGACACAAGUUCUCUGGAGUUUUCACAAAGUUGAACCUAAAACCCUGAUGGAUAUAUUUAGAUCUGAAAACUCUUAGCAACUAUGAAUUUUACAUCUUCUAGUAUUAAUUAAAUCGAUGUUCAAUUACUUAGUUUUUGCUAUCAAUUAAAUGGAUGCUGUAAAACAGCUUGAGCAUCAUUAACUUUUCACUCUCCUUUAGAUGAAAAGUUGGCCUCAAAGCACCAGACUGCUUUUCACCCCACCCAUGACAUACAAGCUUAUUCAAACUCACAUACUUUACAAUAUAAUUCCAGCAGCACAGACCACCACAAGUUUUUACAGACUCUCUUUUUAUAUUCCUAUAGAUUUUCAGUAAAUGAUUGAGUGUGAACUCUUGAAGUCUGCUUAGUAGUUUCACAUCUUGCUUUCUAUUUAACACUCUAAUUUCUUGAUCUUUACUCAGUUUUCCACAUUGAUCUUUAUUCAAUCAUCCAAUAACUCCAGUAUCUUCUUGGUAUCUUCUCUGUAGUAAAGCACAUUUUAAUAUCACAGUUAACACACAAUUUUCAUCAAAUAUUUUAAGGAAAAUGGUUUUAUAUAAUCACAAAUGUUAUUUCAGAUAGUUUCAUGAUGAAAAUAUCUAAACUUGUUUCUAGUUUUGUUAUUGUAAAUAAGAGCAGUUUAACAGAUGCUGGUAAUAAUAGCAAAGUAUUUAGCUAUAAAUCUGUUUCAGUGAUUGAUAACUAAGUACCUAUAGAGUGUAUUAUUUCAUUGAUUUAUGGUUUAGCAUAAAUCCUUUAAUGAUUAGACAUUAACACAUUUUUUAUUCUCUGUAGCAUUUUCUUUAAUUGUUGGAAUAUAGCUGCAUUGUAGUGAGUAAAACUUUAUUACAAAGAUGGAAUUGUAAAUUAUGUAUGAGUGGUAAGUUGAAAUUGGUACAUUAUAGAUUACUGCUACACUGUUAUGUCAAUUAUUCAAAAAUAUCAAGUGCUUGCAUCAAAGUCUGUUUUGUUCUUGUGCCAAACUAAUUAAUUGUUCUUCCUAUCAAUGGCAGAAUAUAUUUCAUUUGUUGUUACUGUUUUAAUAACAUAAGGGAGUGUUCAUAUUCUAUUUAUUAAUCAUAUCUACAGUGUUUAGAUCCAUGUUAGCAGAGCAAAUGUGAGUCUUAGCCAUUUACUGGAAAUCCAACUUGAAUCUCUAGUGAAUUUCUGUAGAAUAGAAUUUCAUUGUUUAUAGGCUGCUGCCUGCUUUUCAGCACAACUCAGAUAUUCACAGAAUGUAUUUGGAAGUCUUUUAUUUAGACAUGAACAGCUUAUAGCAUUUGAUAUUUUUCAUAAUUCAAUUCAUGUCUAUAACUUGAUCAUCAAUAAAUUAAUGUUGUAUAUUGACAGCUGUGGGACUACAUUGACUCUAAAGUUGUUUUAGCUAAGAUAGACAUAGACAUCUGCUAUUGGAGUUUGGCAGCAUUGUAAAGAACUAUAGAAAACUUUAUUGCAGCCUAUGUUAUACUUUCAGCCUAUUACUUACAGAAGAACAGAAUCUUAAUUUUCUAUCAGUCCUUUCAAAACUAUUUUCAAUAUGAAAUGAUCUGCUUACAUCUCAGAUAAUUAUAUGGGAGGUGGGGGCUAACCUUCCCUCACAUAAACUUCUCUUACAACUAUUCUCCAUAUUUUAAGCUUUUUCUGUUUUAUUUUAUACUAUCUUGUGGUUUUUCUCAUCUUCAUCAAUGAAUGAAAGCAACUGCAGUGUACGUUAAAGAAAUAACUUAAGAUGGUCUCUAAUAAACGAAUAUUACAGAUAGGAACAACCUUAAGAAAUAAACAAUAAAAGUAGACAUUUAAGCAGUGAUUGCGGCAUGUGGAUCAUUGUUGCUUUGUGAUUUUACUUUCAAAGUUAGUAAAAGUGAUCAAGGAUAAUAAUUAGCUGAAUUUUGUGAGUUAUACAAUGCGACAUAAGAAGAUCUAGAUAUUUUUUAUAAUAAUAAAAAUAGGACUGAUAUAGUUUUGUGAGGAAUAUCAGUUUGAUGGGAAGCCUAUAUAUGGCUAUGUGGCUGAGAAGUCUAUGGAUCUUCAUGAAGUAAAGUAUCUUGCUCAAGGACACAGCACAUGACUGAAAAUCGAACUCUCAACCUUACGAUUAUGAGCUGAAUACCCUAAGCACCAAGUCAUAUUUCUUCACUUAUAUGUACAGGGUGCGUAAGGUAUUUGAGGACAUACCUUUUGGGGUCAUUGCUGCAUUUUUUGCAAACUCUGUAUAAUCUUUGUUCCAGAAAAUAAUAAUGGCAGACCCUCAGCUUACUCAAGAAAUGAAGAGUCAUGCUGUUAUUGUGGUUAUAAAGGCUGAGCAUAGGGAUUUAGAAAUAUUUCGAUUUUUAAAAAGUUGCCUGAUGUUUCAUCUACAAAGUUUGUAAGGAGCUAGAGAUUGCAGAUGGAAACAUAUUACCAGUAUCAAAGCAUAAAAAGCGUUCUAAACACUCUGAAAUCCUCAGAACACCUGAAUUUAUCCAACAAGUUCAAUGGAUCAUUGAUUACAAUCCCAGAAAGUCCAUGAGGUCAACUGCAAAAGAUCUCCAUGUGUAAGAAGGAACAGUCAGAAAUGUUGUCCAUGAAGACAUCAGAUAUAAGUCUUAUAUGAUGAGGAAAGGUCAGUUUGUCAGACAGAGCAAAAGAAAAUCACUAGAUCAGAUCUAAAAGGUUCUUAAACAAACUGAAAAAUCCAGCAGAUGAAGAUUUGAUUUGGUUUUUCUCAAAAGAGAAAAACUUCAACCAAGAUCAAAAAGUUAACAGAAGAAAUGACAGAUGGUUAUUUGCAGACUCUUCUGAAGUUCCAAGUGUUAUUGCAUGCAAAAUUUCCUGCAACUGUCAUGGUUUUAGGGGUUGUCAUCAAUGAAAGACAUGUGAUGCCUCCUUGCUUCUUUCAACAAGGCCUUAGAGUUAACUCUGCCAUCUACAUUGAGGUCCUGGAAACAAUUGUUAAGUUCUGGAUAGACAGUACAUGCAAUGGAAGGCCAUAUGUGUUUCAGUAAGACCCUGAACUAUCACACAUGGCUCUAGUAACACAGAAAUGGAUGGCUGAACAUUUUCCUGAUCACAUAAGCCCCUAACAUUUGGACCCCUAAUUCCUCAGUUCUCCAUCCAUUGGACUAUUACAUGCAAGUAUACAUGCAUAAAACCAUACAAGUUUGCAUAAAUCAAAGCCAUGCAUGGAUGCACACAUCACAUUAUGCAUGUGUGCAAACAUGCAUAUUCUACCUGCUUUUAGUAGGCCUAUUAGUUUUUUCAAAUGGUUUUGAUUUUGAUAUAAACAUAAACCAUUUAAUUAUACACACACACAAGAAUGCUGAUACUGGUUUAGACAUCCAGUCUCCACAGACACAAAAAAUUCAUUGAUAAACCAAAUUAUUAGAUCCGUGCAACAAAUGAUAAAUGAGUAGAUUUUAGAUUUGACAAAACAAAACUUUAAAAAUUCAGUGGAAUAUUUCAAAGUUUUCAUUUCCAGUUGAUAUUCAUUUUCUGCUUCAUUUCAAAAUUAUCUCAUUUGACAUCUUUAAUGAAUUAAAAAUGAACAUUAAUGGUUCUGUAGAAAAUUAUCAUCUAUGAUGUUCUAUGGUAGACGACUAGAGUGAAAGAAUGAGAUGUCAAAAGAAAACAUCUAAUAAUAAUAAGUUUGUAUUGGUCUGUUGCUGAAUUGUGAAGUGUUUGAUUAAAAUUUGAAAUUGAAUUCAGACCAUUCUCUGUAAUUAGGACGUUUAGGAUAAAGGAAUUGAAAAAGACAGCCUAAUUCUCUAUAAAAUAGUAGAAAUGUAUUAAAUAACCACCAAUAUUUUUAUUGCUUGUAAUCGGUAACUGAAAUUAAAAACAAAAAAAAACCCAACUGAUCAGUAAAUUUUCAUAAAUAUGAAAUUAAAAUUGAAUGGUUAAAAGAAAAUAUUCCUUGAAAUCUUAAAUCAAUAUUUGCUAUAGAUAAAAGGAUGAGUGAUGGGUUUUAAAAUACGCCUUCUAUUGAGAUAGGUGUUAAAGAAUCUGUUGGAACCAGGGCUCACUUAAUAUUCAAGAGUCAAAAUUUGUUGCCAGAAAAGAAGCUAUUACAUCUGGCUCAAGAGAGAGAGGGCAAGUGGUACAACAGCAAGAACAAGCAAUGAGGAUGGUACAAGCAUCUAUCCCAGAGUUGCAACAUCUGACGAACUCAACAAACUUUAUGCCGUUGUGUGGGCGUUUUGUUACCUACAUCAGUGGGUGACCCUGAGCAGCUUUGGUAUCACUGAGGAAGGGACCAAAAUACUUGCAUAGCUACUUUGCCAUGUAAUGAGACAUCAGCUCCUGCAUUCAUUCACAAAGUACAGUGAUACACUCAGGACACAAAUAUAUUCUGAAUUUUGCCAGAAGAGCCAAACCUAAAGCUUUUAUAGACACGAUAGUGUAAUGAAGAAUUUCACUUGUUAAUAAAUUGGAUCCAAAUUCGAUCCUACAGCAUGGUACUUUGUGAAAGAGUCUUUUACCAUUGUUUUUGGUUGUCCAAAGAAUGGAGAAUGAAAAUUGAUUGACAGAAACCAUUUGGAAACUUGUUGGAAGUUCUCUUUCUAUUCUUGAGUGAUAUCAUUUAAUGCUCAGUUUAACAUAGAUGCCUGGUCCUUUUAGUAUCAAGUCAUCUGAGACUCCACUCCAUUCUAAAUUAAAACCUUCCAUCAAAAUUCAACAUUAAUUUAUAUCCUAAGCAUCAGCUUAAUAAUGACGGUUAUUUUACGAAACUUUUCAUUAUUUUCAAAAUUAAUUCAAACAGAAAUUUGGUAACAAAUGAGUGAAUGGCAUCCACUCUGUUGCAAGUAUUUAGACCAGAUCUGUAGUCUUAUAUGCUGUGAUCAGCACUGGAUUAACCAUUACACAAAAUAAGCAGAUGCUGAGGGCAUCGAGGGAAGUGGGGCACCAAAGAAAGGAUAAACUUUCUAAAAUAAUAUUUGAAGUGGUUUAUAUGAUUGGAAAUAUAAUUUUGAAGUGUUCAUGGAGUCAUAGUGAGGAUCUUCUGAUCAAAGACUUUGCAUUUACAAAAGGUACAAAACUUUUCAAAUAUAAAUAAAGUAGAAGGAAGUAUACAAAAAUAAACAUCAUACUGUUAAUUUUGUUUCAUUAAGAAAAAUAAAAUUUUAUUUCUUGGUUUAUUAUUGUUUAUAUUUUGAAUUACAUAUAUAUUAGAGCACCAAAAUCUUUUAAGUGCUUAGGGCCUCUAUAGGUCUUAAUCUACUCUUGGCUGGGCCCUACUCUUCAUUCUCCUGUGACUAACUCAUUAAAAGUAUAUACAUCUGUAGAUCUGUAUAACAAUAUACUUGUCAUAUAGUUAUUUACAUUUGUAGAUGUAUAUGAAGAAUUAGCUUUUAUAUAGUUAUAUAUGGCUAUAGAUACAUACAUAACAAUAUAACUUUUAUAGCCAUGUACAGUUGCAGAUGUACAUAAGAAUCAAACCUGGGCACUAAAUCAUUAAUGCGUUAAUCAUUAAUGAAGGAAGUUAACAUUUUCGUUUUUUAAGUUAACUUGGAAAUCAUUAACAAACUAAUUAACUUCCGUUACAUUUAACUUCCAUUAACUCAAGUUGCUGUGACGAUCUUUAGGCUCAAGGACUUGAAGUCCAAGGGCCUCUUCUACUGCAGCCCCUUGGUCAAUGCACUUCUGGCAGGCAUUGACAAAAGGUUUAGGACCCUCCUGGAGGAUGCUGAAUGUCAGCUGGCUGCUGCCUUCCAUCACAGGUUUCACCUCAUCUGGUUGGAUAGAUAUGACAAGUCACCAAGGUGAAGAAAAGCAUGAAGGGUAAGGUCGAGGAGGCCCCUAGGCUGCAGUGGGACAAAGAGAGCAGCAACAAUGAAGAGGAGGUGGAUGACUUCUUCAGUGGUGUCACUCAGCCAAAAGAGGGCAGCAGGAGCAACAAGUCACUCAAGGACAAGGCCCAGAAAUUGGUCAAGACCUGGUUGGAGACCAACUCCAGGGACUUGCUGACAGAUGCUGCCUUCUUGGGUGAGCAAGUGUCGUUGGACUUGUUCAUCAAGUUCAACACAGCCAUCCCCCUCCAGUGAUGCAAUUGAGUGUUUGUUCUCUGUGGGCAAGUACAUGGUGAGGGCCAAGAGAUCAUCCCUGUUUGAUGAAAACUUUGACAUGCUAAUUUUCAUAAAGGGCAACAAAAUGAAGAAUGAGGAGAAUAGGUAAAAUCAAAUUAUGUAUAUUUCAUGUUUUUCAUUUUUUAAUUUUUAUUUUUUUACAGAUACUUUAUCAAUUUAGUUUAAUGCUAAUAUUGUGUUUCACAUGAGGUUUUUUUUUUACCUUUUGCUGGCUCUAAAAGCCUUUAAAAACCUAAAAAAAAAAAGAACAAAAUGAUGAAAUCAGCCAUUUUUAGGUCUUUUAAAAGUUAAAACUAUAAAAUCAUAUUUUAACUCUAGUUUUUGGAUUCUAAAACUCUUAAAAGGGCUAAAAAUAAAGGCUGAUAUUAUGGCUUUGACAUUUUUCAAAUGUGUUUUUAUGUGGGUUUUAGAGAAAAAAAUACUGAUUUUGUUGUUUUUUCUAUAAUAAAAAUUAACGUUAACAGUUUAUCAAUAACUUCCUUUACAUUUUUAAAGAAUUAACUGAUUAACGGUAAUCAGAGUUAGGUUUUUGGUUAACGGAUUAAUGGUUAACAAAGUUAACUUUUCAAUUAACGGUGCCUGCCUUUGAUAAGAAUAUAGCUUUUAUGUAUUCAUUUUAUACCUUCAUUUCCAAAUUUUGGUGGUGAAAACCUGAGCAAGUUUCCCACAGUAGAGAAAUUGGUUGUUUUAUCGAUCUGUAUUGUUAUAUGAUAAUUUGAAUGAUAUUAAACCUUACCAAUGUAGGUAUAAUGGCUACAGAGACAUUUUCAGGCUUUUAAAUCUCUCCCCCUCUCUCUCCCCUCUCUCUCUCCAUUCCUCUCCCUUCCUCAUGUACUUACCUACAUACUGUUUUAUAAUUGUUGUUUCACAUUAGUGUCAGUAGCAUGUGUGUAAAAAUGUAUGUUAACAGUUGUGUAUCGUUCGAGAGAAAUGAGUUUAUUAGAAGAGGAUCUCAUUUUCUGCUGCUUAGAAUUUAACUUUGAUAUGGAAAUAAAGCAAGACGUUAACCAGACAUAUUGCAAUAAAUAGAGUUGUCAGAUUUAUAUAACUACAUCUGUUAUUUCUCUUGCUGUACACAGUAUUGAGGAUAAUGAAGAAGCUAAAAAUGCAUUCACUGUUUCCAUCAGAAUGCACAUUGAAGUGACUGUUUGUGUUUUUUAGUACCGAGUACCUAAAAGCAAGAAUUCUUCUCUAUGGCAAACACGACCUUUGCUCAGGUCAAAUAUGUCUGAAACAUAUUUUGACUGACUGAAAAGUUCAUUUAUUCAUAACAUUGCUUUCACAUGCCUACAGCAACGUGUGUGUGUAGCUAGAUAAAUAGACUGACAGACAGACAGACAGAUAGAUAGAUAGACAGACAGACAUACUCAUCAAUAUAUGUGUGUGUAUAUGUUUAUAAUUAAUUAAUAACAAGUUGAUUUAGUGCCACAUUACUUCAAGUUUCCUGCAUCAUCAAAUGUACAAUGUCAGAAUAGAAACAAUUUAAAAGAAAUCGAAAAAUCGCUUCUAGGUGGAAAUAUUUAUACCUCCAUUGAUCAGUUCAAGUUACAAAGGUACUUCAGCUUGUUAGCAACACCAGUUUUUUUCCAUUAUAUGCUUCAUGUGAUAGGCAGACAGGAUAAUGGCCUUCUGUAAGGUAUCUGUUUUAAAUUUAGAGCCCUCUGAGUUCAAAUCUCUGUUCCAUCAAGGAAAACCAAGUCAGAAUGUUCUAAAUACUUUUUUUUCAUAGAUAAUUCAACAAUUACUGGUUUAACUAAAUGAAGAGGUAUGGACAACUUAAAUAAUUUACUGACUUCAAUUAAAUUUCUUAUUUCUCAUUGGAAUCUCAAUGCAGCUUUGAAACUGUUAACUGUUUACAACUGAAAAAAUAACAUGUUGUCAAUGUGUACCUUGUGAGUACAUCUGUGUGUAUGUGUGUGUGUGUGUGAUUUUGUGUUUGUCUAUGAGUGUAUGUUUAGAGGCUCUGUGUAAUCACAUUACGCUGACAAAUGUGACUGUUCUAUUCUAACUACUCCACUUGUUUGUUAGUUAAGAUGUUUUUCGUUAUCAUAUUUGAAAUUAGCACUUUUAUCAUAUCAUCAUCAUCAUCAUCACCACCGUCGUCAUUGUCUUCAUUAUCAUCAUCAUCAUCAAUGUCAUCAUUAAAAUCAAUGCAAUUGUUGCUUCACUAUCCUCAUCAUUAUUUUCUCGUUGCCAGUAUUAAAUACCAUUUUCCUUUAAUGUUCUUCUCUCCAUUCAAGUGUUUUAUGUUACAGUUUUUACUUUAUAUUUUCCAAACAAAAGGUUUGAAAAAUAUAAAGAAUUCAUUUUCAUCAUUGUUAUUUAUGAACGACAAAUAAACAGUUUUCUCUUUACAUUACUUAAAAUUGUCUUGAGAAGUUUCGGUUUGCUUUUUUUCUGGAAUAGAAGCUUUUAAUUAGUGAGUUUGAUUAAAUUUAUCAAGAACUCUUUAGAACUUGGCAGUUCUGUGACUGUUCUUAAUGCUGUACAAUACCAGCUCAUUAGGAUUGCUCAAAGUAAAUUAGGAGUAACUGAAAUAAUGCCAUUCAGCCAAUAGGGAGCAUUGUUAAUAUCAGUAUUUAGAAGUACAACAGUUCUCUAAUCAAUAAUGUACUGGAAUCAGUGUGGUAGAGAGUUCAAUCCCUGUUAACAUCUGGAAUUUUUGUCCUAUUUUAAGGAGGUGAAAUUUUUUUUUAAAUAUUGUGUGAACCACCAAGGCAGAGUGGUUAAUCUAUUAGAUGUGGAGCUAGUGUCUGUGUGUUCAAACCCCAUCAGUAGCUUUGUGCACUUAGUUAUUGACAUAUUACAUUGUCAGAAGGUAAAAAAAAGUAAGAAUUCUUGAAAUUUUACAGUUGAAUUGGUGACAUAAAGGAGCAUUCUUUGAUUAGCUCUCAAGGAUCAGGAAUGAUGAUGUAUUGAAUAUUGAUCUGAAGACGUAUUUUUGAACAAACUUAUUCCUUUAGAAUUAUUCUAAUGAGGAUUAUGAAUCUUUAUUGCAGUUUUCAAAUAAGGAAAUGGCCAUGAACUGGUGGCUGUUUUCUUGAAGGUUUUCUAUUAUUUUUCCUGCCCAAAGGAAUUCCUUCAAGUCACCAAAACACACAUUGUUAAUCUGGGGGUUGCAAUCCUGUUUGUGACUCUUACUCUUACUCUUUUACUUGCUUAUUCUUUGUAAGCCUAGUACUUAUUCUAUCGGUCUCUUUUGCCAAACCGCUAAGUUACAGAGACAUAAACACACCAGCAUCGGUUGUCAAGCGAUCUUGGGGGAACAAACACAGGCACACAAACACACACAUAUAUAUAUAUAUAUAUAUAUAUAUAUAUAUAUAUAUAUAGAUAUACACAUAUACAUAUAUACGAUGGGCUUCUUUCAGUUUCCAUCUACCAAAUCCACUCACAAGGCUUUGGUCGGCCUGAGGCUAUAGUAGAAAACACUUGCUGAAGGUGCCACGCAGUGGGACUGAACCUCGAACCAUGUAGUUGGUAAGCAAGCUACUUACCACACAGCCACUCCUGCGCCUGUUCACAGCCACCGUAAAAUAUCUGCUUUGUCUUGAGAAACUUUACUUCUAUGAAUGUAGGUUUGCUGGACCUGUGUGAAUUUCUCAUUUGUAAUAUGGCUUUGCCAGUAUUCCAAAUAACUCACCAGAAGCUAUCACGAACAGCCAUGACACAAGUUCACAAUAUGAUUCUAGCUUUAAAAGUCAAUAACACUGAAAUAUUUACUCAAACUUUCAUCUUUAGGAAUAUGUUAGUAGGAUAAGCUUUCAGAUUAAAGUUUCUAAUCCCUUUUUAUUUUAAUUCUUUCAUAAAAUGAAAUAAAAAACAAAAUUUAAUUACCAUUUAAUAUCAUUAAAAAAAAGCCUGUUUAGUUUGUAAUAUGUAAAAUCAUUUUUAAACUUUAGCUUUUAUCUUUUUAUUCAAUAUCAUAUAAGAGGUUGUGUUGUUGUCACUAAUCUACAUUUACCAGAAGAGAAUAUAUGAGUUCACUUUGUAAAUGUUACACAACACUACAUUUCUAUUACAUGUUUGUACUGCAUCAGUAACUUUGCAUCACAAAAUCUGUAAUUUAAAUAUUUCUUAUCUUAACAUCGAUGCCAUCAUAUUUAACAUUCUCCUUCUCCUUCUUAUAUGUAACAUUCCAAACAUCACUAAUAGGCUCAUAAUUCCUUAAAAUUGGCCAAUAUAUACAUAAGAUCAAUUUGUACGAUAUAACAUGUAGAGAACAAGUUGGGAAGUAUAAAAAUUAUUAAUACUUUCAUAAUAGAAAGAACUUAUCUAGAAAAUUGGAUUUUUAUGUUUGCUGUUUUAUGAAAUAUAUUUUCUACUUUUUAUCCAUGCAUGAUGCUGAUACUUCUGGUUCUGAAAGAGAUUGCCAAACAUGACAGACAUUUAUUAUGCACUGCUGUUCUCUGACAAUAUUAAAGGAUUUUUGUUUUGUUUUUUAGUUUUUAUUUUGUAGGUCUUGAGUGAGGAGCAAAACUUCCCAUAUUUUCAGGCCCUCACAUAUUCACUCAGGUGGGAUUGAGGUAAUUAAUCUUUAACUUGAUCUUCAGUAGGUGAUUUUAAAGAAAAUAUAGUUGGUGGGGAGAGGAUUGCCAGUGGAAUGCAUUUUUAGGGGGAAGGGUUGUGAAAAGUUUUUAGGGAAGGGUUUGGGAUUACAAGAGGGCAGAAAAAUGUGUUGGUUGCUGUGAGAAAUGUAGAUAUUAUUGCUGUGAAACGGAACAAAAACAUGUAAAUAAUAUAGACAUAGUAGAAGAUGUAUGUAUAAAAUAGCUGCAGGUUUAGGUUUUGGAUGUAUAGAGCGGCUGUUGGUGUAUAUUGUGAACUGAUGCUGUGCUAUGCUGUAUAAUGAUUGUGUCUUUGUACUGUCAAAGAGAGUUUAGUUGUUGUUAUUGUCAUUUAGCCCCAGAUAAACCCUCAUCUAGCAGGGCUAUGAUCAAAUGCAUCCCAACCAUGGCCUUUCCAUCAUUUUGUUUUCUGGUAGUGUGCAUCUAGGAUUCCAUUUUUCAGUGUGUUCUUGAGAGAUCUGGUUGCUUUUACUAGUAGUUUGAACAGCUUUGAAGAGGGUUACUCUUUGGUUAGCUCGAUGGACAAUGUGUGUGUUGUAUGGGAGUGCAGCAUUUAUACAUACAUAUAUAUAUAUAUGUAACUACACACAUCCUGUUGGUGAUUUUUUUCCAUUCUUUGCACUUCAAAAACUCUCUCUUCUUAUCGAGUGUCAAACUAAUACAUCCUCCAUGUGCAUGUCCGCUUGUUGCUUGUUAUUAUUGCUAUAUUUAAUGGUCAUUCUUUCGAUUUGACUAUGUAUGUAUGUGUGUGUGUGUGUGCAUGUAUGUAUGUAUGUGGGGGCGGAUUACAACUAGAAAGACAUUACAAAAGAAAGCAGAACAGAAAAUAUGAAUGAUGAGAAAUUUAGGAUUUGAUACAACUUGUGUGGAAACGGUGAUCACUGUAUUGUAAAAUUAUGGCAUCAGCAAAGAUAUUUGCUAUUGGAAUUUCUUAGAACUGCCUCAUUUAUCUGUUAAGCAAUUCUAUUUUGAAGAUAAAAUAACAUCUGAAAAAUAAAUAGUAAAAAAUACUUGCAACAGAUUUGAAAGCUGUGUUCUCUAUUGUACAAAAUUCAGGUAAGAGAACCAUUACUCAUUGCUGCUGUAUGGAGACAAAAAUGUGGAUCUAUUCUUGCAUGAACUAAACACAAAAUAAUUGUAUUUAUUGCUAAAAACACCAAAGUUUGAUGUAAAACCAUUUAAUGAAGGCAAAAUCAUAAGGGAGUCUGGAUACAAGGUGGACAAAGUUUGUGGACACAAAAGAAAAAAGAAUCACUUUGCAUAUAUAUCAACAAAUAUUGAUAUAACAUUGUUUAUGUUUCGUUUCUGACCAAUGCUAUCAUUAAGGAAACGAUCUGACAAUUUUACUUUUAACUAUUUGUCUGUCAGUCAUAUAAUAAGUGCAAUGUCAACGUAUAUCUGUCACUUUACACUUAACAUCAAAGCAAAACACUUCUAUACACUGAUAACAAUUCCUCACAUUAAGCCAGAGUGGUGUAGUAGUCGUAGUAGUAGUAGUAGUCUAGUUGAUUGAGAUAAUACUACAGCCUACUAUUUCAAGGCUAAACCAUUAUGACAACCAUGGUAAGAAUUGAACUCAGAAUGUAAAUGGCUGUAACUAAAGUAUUUAUUUCUACUCUUUAACAUUUCUACCAUCUCAGUAUCCUUUUGGAUGUUGUAAUGAAGUGUUUCAAGGUAAAAAAAAAAUAACUUUGUUAGUCAGAUGACAUCAAGAAUUUAUUAAUGUGUUUUUGAAGGUUGUACACUAGCUACAGUUGGAUGUUGAUAAGCAGAUAAACUGGGAGUAUUUUGUUUGGGUAACUAAUUGUUUCUGAUAGCUGAUUUGAUCAGAAACAAAGGAAGCCAUUCUGAACAUAAUUGCAUGAAAAAAAAAGCCUGUUUACAGACGUCUUAUGCCAUUAAAUCAGUAAAAUGCUUUACUUUUCUGCAAUACCAUUCCACCAUGUUCCAGAUGCUGUAAAAUCUCACAUUUUGGUUCAAUUGUCAGUGGUAUUCACUUUCUCUUCGUUGACAUGGUAACAUCAACAAAUUCAAUUACUUGUAACAAAGACAUAUCAGGAACAGAGUUGCAGAAAGAACGAAGACCAUUCUGUGUCGUUUGCCAUACUUUUAACUCUUUCAGCAUGACAGUCUUUUUUUUUUUUAAUAUAUUAAAAUUAUUUCAACACUGUUUAAAGGAAUUGGCUGAAAUCUAGCAUAGCAGCCAACUUGAGGUGCUUUUGAAAGAAAAGAUGUGAUUGCCACACCAGUGUCUGAACCACCACCUUGAUGUAACUUUUUAAAAUCAUCAUCACCAUCGUCAUCUUUGUUGUUGAGCUGAUGGUCAUUGUCUACAUAGUUAUUAUCAUCAUAACCAUUGUCCUCAUUAAAUAUCUGAUCAUUGUGCUGACACAGAUUGGACGAACCAUCACAGUCCGAUUCAGCUCUUACUCAAGAGUUAUUGUCCUCAUGUUCUUCAGCAAUUCAAACUCUUUUAAUCAUUACAAACAAAAAUAUAAUUGGAAGCAUCAUUAUUAUUUUCAAGUUUGUGUGACGUACAAUACGGCUAAUUAAAUAUUCACAGAACUUUGAGACAAUGUUUGGGUCAUUUGGAAUAUCAUGUAAUUGAUAUUCGGUUAACAGGAGGAUAAGUAAGGUUUCUAAAAUUCAAUGUGGCCAAUAAUCCAUUACAGGGACUUUCUUGUAAGAAAAACCAUUAAAACUUUUUUAACAUCCCAUUAUUCAAAAAGCAUCCAAAUUAUUUCAUUAUUGAAGUUAACACUGACAUAUUUAAUGAAUAAAUCAUGGUGAAGAAAAAACACCAAUCCUGCACUUGUAUAGCUUAGAUUAUUUUGGAAAAUAUGGCAGACAACUCAGAACAUUUUCAGCCUUAUUAGACCUCAUCAACAAAACAAAUGCUUCACUAUAUUUACUGAAGAAAUGGUGAUAGAAUUACUAAAUGCACAAUGAUUGUAUCUUAGUUCACAGUCCUCUUAUCAUAUAUAUAUGUGUGUGUGUGUGUAUAAAGUCACAUUGUAUAAAUAAAGAUGUCACACUUACCUAUACGUAUAGAUACACAUAUAUAUACCUAUAUAGCUACCUUCAUGAAGAAUACCAAAGCAUUCACGCACACACAUCCAUUCACCUUUUCUUCUAUUAUGAAUAAGUGGAUGGAGAAUAAAUUCUUACCACAAUAAAGAGCUGAGAUCUACUUAAAUAAAUGGUAAUGGUGGUAGUGAGGGUGGUGGAGGUGGUGGUAUUGUUUUGGUGGGGGUGGGGCUCUGCUCCUUUGUUGAAGAUGUUAAAAUACAACCAAAAGAAAUGGGGUUAACAAAAGAAAUUAUCAAGAUGAAAGUAUUUAAAUAGAAACACAAUAAAGAACUUUUGUUUCAGGUUUGGAAAAUACACUAAAAGCAAUGAUUCUGAUGAUGUAUCAGUUUACACAAAUGUCUGUGUCCAUGGAAGUUUGGUCCCAAAAAUAUAUCCCUCUAAUAAUUUAAUCUGGUACACUGGUAUUAUAUUUAAUUAUAGUCCAAAAAUAAUUCUUGAAUAUCUGCUUACUGGUAAUCCAUAGUAUCCACUGUGAAAUUGUAAUUUUUGACUUGGCAGUCUGGAACCUGAGAGCCAUAAAUCAGCCAGUGACUGCGUUUCACUGGACCCAGACAUGAAAAACCACUUCUGUUUGUGCAUUCUGGAAUAUGAGAAGAAGUUUAUAUAUUGUUGUUCUCAGGAGAGCAAGUCACUAGAAGUUCAUCAAAAUUCUAAUUAAUGAACCAGUUUUUAAUUGAAAAGCAUAGAUUACUCAUGUAGCAUAGAAAUAUUAUUUCUAUGCAAUAUUGACUAUAACACAUGAUGCCCAGUAUAAUUACUGAUUUCAGCCGGCCAGAGUGACAAGAAUGCAGUCUCCAUAUUGCUCUUGAAACAUAUUGGCCAAAAUAUUCAAUCCAAUCUGCUUUUCAUUUGCUUCUGCUUGACUCACUGUCACACAUUUCCUAUUCUUUUACAAUUGUAUAAUAUCUACAUAUCUUCCAGGUUUCACCCAUUGUCUAGUCCAUGUACUAUCUCUGUCAAAGAGUUACACACUGUUUAUUUCAUAUGACUGCUCUUACUCUAUCAAACAGUUCCUAUAUAUCCUAUCCUACCUGUAGCCUGUGCAGUCAUUGGGAUGUUUAUCGAUGAUGAUGUACCAGAUUUCACCACUUCUUUUGGUCUUCUGCUGCCCUCUGUGAGUCAGCAAAAUUGUGGUCUGCCCACUUUUUGAUGUUACAAGACCAUUUUUUUCCUUGAUUUGCCUUACUUUUGUUCACCUUCCACUGUUAACUGAAGGACUGUCUCUGAUUGGUCAAAGCUUCUUGUAACAUGACCCUACCAUUUCAUACCAUUUCUUGUAACAUGACCCUACCAUUUCAGCUUACUUGUCUUCACAAUUGUCAGCAUAUCCUUGUGUGGUUCAAUAGCCUAGGUUAUUCUCAUCCUCACUUCAUUAUUCAUCAUGUGUUCUUUGUAUGAGAUCUAGCAGCUGUUUGUAGAGUCUUAUUUUUAUUGCAUUUACCUUUUUUUUUUAUUAAUGUCCAAGCCUCACAGGUAUUUAGAAAAACAGAAAUCACAAAAUGAUCUCAUAAGUUAUCCAUUUUUAUUCCAUAUUGCUGGACUAACUCCAUCAAACAGCUCCUGGCUGUCAUCUAUUCAAUCAUCAUCAUGACUUAGUUUCAUGAGUAAAGAUUGACAGAGGGGAACUUCCACAUCUGCUGCGGGGCUCCCUGAUUUGGAUCAAACAGGCAUGACCGCAGGGGUUGCAUGCGAAGGUGGGCUGAUCAGGGCUGGUUGUUAUGUCCCUGAUUUUCCUCUUCUCUCUCUCUCUUGUGGUCCUGUGGGUGUCUUCAAAGGUGGCUGUUGCUUGGUGGACAGUGAGAUGUUAGGCUUUAUAGUCUGCAGCCAGAACAGACCACUGGUGGCGAUCAAUGUAAAAGGAGACAAAGAAUUUAAGAUGUCCUUAUACUUCUUCUUUGGAGCUCCUCAGUCAUGUGACCAGAGGAGAGUUCAGACCAUAUAGUAUGACCUUGGGAAGUUAAUGGUCCUCCAUCCUGGUAACAUGUCCUGCCCAGUAUAGCUAUGUCUUCAGCAGAGUUGCUUCUAUACUGAUGACCUCCGUCUACUCUAGGACUUUCAUGCUGAAGUAACUCAAUCAUUCAGCUACCCUCUGUUCAUGUAAUAUUAACCGUAUCAAAUAAUUAUAUUAUGAAAUUAAGAGAAGUUCAAUAAGUAAAUGCUUGAAAUAUUUAAGAAAUUUGGAUUUGAUGAGGAAAGUAAAAUAUUUGAACAAAGUUUUACUAUUAACAAACACAUAGCAAUAAUUAAUUCAUAAUAUUUAGAACUAAACAAGAAAGUGAAAUAUUAUUUUGGUGGUGAAAUAAUUUACUCACAAGUACAAGUUAGUAACUGGGGAUUGAAUAAAUUUCACUGUUGAUGGUGCUGGGUAUUGUGCACAACUGAAAUAACCCCAACAUCAAGCUAAAGAAGGAGGAAAUGUGUUCAUUUACUAAAUUACUAAAACAUUUCAGUUGAGUUCAUGUGAGAAACUAAUAUAACCUGAACAUGUUGUAUUCAAUUACAGGUAUUGUAUAAAACAACAACAUUGACAAACAUGUAAAAGCAACAACAUUAAAUACUGUCCACAGCUAAAAUAGGUUGAAACCGUUUGUGUUUUUCUGGUUUUUAUAAGUGGUUUUUGUUUUGUUUUUUCUUAUAACUGAAGGAAAUGUAAUAACAAAGCUUAUCAAUAAUGUGGAAUACUGGCAGAUUAAGGUGUUUGAUUAAUGUUAAUUGGAAUAACAGUUAUUGUUGCUCUUUAGCCCUAGGUAGGACCUGGUUGUACAGACUUAUGGUCAAAAACAACCAAGUUGAGCCAAUUCUAUUUGUUUGUAAAUCUAAGACUACAUUGGCUGUCAUUUCUUUUUCAGACAAUUAACUGGAAAUGAGUAAAUUUGGUUGCUGUUUUUUGUAGAUUGAGUAACUGUUUAGAGAUUUCCUUGUUGCCUUCUGUUAAGUUGGACAGUGUUGUUCUCAGUUAUAACAGUUUGGACGUAAGACUAUUGAAAGUAUUUCUCAGAAAGAAUAGUCUGGAAAGUUGUUAUGGAAUCAGGCUCAGAAUACUUUAAAUCCCACAGAAGUUUCAACUCCAGAAAAACAUUCCUUUACUCUAAAUGAAGCAGUCUUAAGAUCUUCUCCUCUACUAUUAAGACACUAUAAAGCCAUGAUUAUAGUAGCCAUAGAUCAUCUUAAUUUAUCUGAUGUAGGAGUGAAGGCAACAUGUCUUAGCUGCGUCAAUCUAUCUGAUGUCCAUUAGUAGCAUGUUAUCAGAGAUAUCUUUCUGGAUCACUAAAAUAUAAUCAUUUAACACUUCAAAGAGUUUCUCUCUCUCUCUUUCUCUCUAUCAUCAAUAUAUAACAUGUGCUUGGAUGAUGCUGCACAUUUUCACUCAUCUUCUGCCAAUCCUUGUUUCUCUGGACUUCUUCCAAACUAAAAAUGAAAAUGUCCAUUCUUCUUAUUUUCAGAAAUCUUGGCAUUUUAACUGACAGGAGUUUAUAAUUAAUGAAAUAGUUUUUCGCAUUGUUACGAAAGUUGCUUCGUUUCUAACUUAUUUGCAACACAUUGGUUAGUCUCAUGAUAAUAAUUUGGUUUUUGGUUUUCACUUAAAAAUUUAUGUUUCUCUGACAUUUUCGGUUUGUUAUAUAGUCCUCUGCCCACCUCAGAUACAAAAGACAUUACCAGUGUAAAGAUGUUCCAAUGCAAUGUUGAAUGAGAAGUGAAGAAAGGUCAGACAAAAAGAAAUGCUCUCAAUGGAUCUACUUUUCUAAUGUAAAAAGCAUUAUCUAAUAAUUGCUUAGUAAUUGUCAUAGAAUUAUUUUGAUAUUAAAUGGUUUAUAGACCUUAAAAGUUAGUUGCAGUCAAUGCUUUUCAUUGGUGGCAUUACUGUUGUUGUUUUAAAGAUCAGUUUUCUAACUUGUAUAAAUUUGGCUCAGCUGCUGUACAGUCUCAGUUAAACUUAUGUCUCCUACCUCUCCUGCCUCUUUGCUCCCCUUUCAUAGCCUCAUCACUCAUUCCCCUUUCAUAGCCUCAUCACUCAUUCCCCUUUCAUAGCCUCAUCACUCAUUCCCCUAUUUAUGCUGUCCAUACCCUGGUUUAUUUUUUCAUCAUUCUCCCUAUUCUCUGUAUCACUCUCUACUAUCCACCUUGGCAAGAUGUAUCUUAAAAACUAAACUAAAAGUAAAUGCUUUGAACAAAUCAAAGAGUAGUGGGGGUCUCUUCAGUUUUAGAAUGUGCUAGACAACUUCUCCUGUGCUGGUGCCAUGAUACACUGUGCCCUGUGCAUUCAGUAAAAUAUUUGGUAGUGAGAAGUGCUUCUAGCCAUAGAAAACCAGCCAAAAUUUACAAGUGAGUCUUCCAAAGCAUCUAGGAGGGUGCUAAAACCAAAUAAGAACUGACCCAGACAAUGAGGAUUUGUCCAACCCAUGAUAGCAUGGAAAGCAAAUGUAAAAUACUGCUGCUACUGAUGAUGAUAAUGAUAUAAUAGUAAUUAAUCUACAUCUCUAAUUAGCUGUCUGACUAGUUACACAUUUCAUAGCAAAACAAAGUUAACUGUUUUAUCUAUUCCAAAGUUCAAAACAACUAAUAAUCUUUUCUUACUAUACCUCACUAAUUUAACUAAUUUAAUCAAUGACGCUCAUAUACUAUUUAUCAUUUUGCUAUAUUUCAUAGCUACUGUAGGCUAUUAUCAAUAUAAUUCAGCAUAGUAACUUAAAAUCUUUGCCAAAAUGACCAUCAAAACAAACCCUUGUUUAGCUGGCAUUUAUUUUAUUUAUAUUCAGUAAUUAUAUGUGUUUUUUUUACUGUUUUAAGACAAAUAUUAUAAUUCAAUUCAGUAUUAACUUUAAGUUUUCAACCUACCAAAUUCUGAAUAGCAAAAAUAUAUUUCUUGAACAGAACAUAGUAUAAAAUGUUUUAUUCUCUUUUAGUAGAAAACAAAGCAUUCCAUUGAGAAUUGUUCAGCUUCAGUACAGGAAAAAGAUAUUCGACUAUUCUAAAUUGUUUUGUUUUCUUUUUUGAAUUAUUUGCUUAUUGUUUCACUUUAUAUUGUUAUAUUCACUUAUUAUUUUCAUCCACUCACUUCCAAGUAUUUUCACAAAUUGUUGUGGAAUAAUUAGAAUAACAAAACUUCCAACCAUCUUCCAAUAAUCAUUGAUAUUUCAAGAUACAAGAUUCUUCUAAGGAUCUUCAUAUUCAAAGGCAAAAAAUAAAACCCUCAAGCAGAAAUUCUAAACUUUUCAUUUCAUUUUCCUGUAGCAACAUGUUGCUUAUAGCUCCAUGAUAUUUAUUCGAGUCUAACAUUACCUAUUUUAUUUUUGAUCCAGAUGCAAUUCUCCCCACUCCCCCAAGAGAGAUGGAAAGACAAAAAUAAUUUAUAUGCAACAUGUCAUAAAUCAGAAAAUAUGAAAGAAAAAAUAUUACAAAGCCUCACUGUGGGUUAAAAGUAGAAUGUAAACUCAUUCUUUCUCUUCUGCUGAUGUGAGGAAAAUUGUUGGAGACAGUGUCCUGAUAGACCAUUUCACAUCUUCUCUAAUGAGCUGUCAACAAAUUAUGAAGCAGUUUGCCAGGAGACACCUCUUUCUCUCUAGCAUAGAAAGGAUGUGUUUACAUUCCAAUUUCUUACUUUUUUUCUGUUCUUGAACUGCCAUGUUACGUCUAAAAAUUCUAUUUGCUCUGUUGUGUUAGAACUGGGGCAAAAUUAGCUUUUAACAAAUACUAUGUGAACAAUUUAGAGUGCUUGGCUCUGCACUGCUUUCAAAAUUACCUGUUAGACUGUUUAGAAUAUUCAACUUAUUGUAUAUUUAAAUGUUCGUUUUUUCUCCUUUUUGUUCAUUCUGUUAUAUAUAUUUUUUUUUUUUUUUAUUCUCUCUAUUUGCUGUUGGAAUGUUUUAUCAUAUGCCAUAUACUUGCUUGGUAACCAUUUGAAAGUGAAAAUAGGAAACUAGGAAAGAAUCUGUGAAAAGUAAAUUCUUUCUGUUUCGUCUAUCCCCUUUUCUCAAGUUUUCCAAAAAGCAAUUCCUUUUGUCAUGCUAUAACUAUGAUUUGGCUUCAGAGUGAAAUGAAACCAUGAUUGCUUAAGUUUUGCCUCAGGGUUACUUUCUAUUGUUCACCAAUUAUGAUUUGGAACUUGUACCUUGAAAGUCAAGUAUUAUUUUCACCUGAAUUAAUAAUCAUUUUCUUUUUUCUAGUAACAAGAUAAAAUUCUACUUUACCUUCUUUUACUAUAACAUUUAUUUUUACGUUUUUAUGGAUUGGGUCAUUCUCAUUUGUUAAAUAAUUACCAGUGUCUACCUGUUGAUAUAUUAUGUAUCAUUUCAAGACUGAUUCUGUAUUUGCUGCUGCCAUUGCAUGUAACACCUCUUUCAUAGUACAUCUAUAUCCCUUGUCUCAUUUGUAACAGUCUAAUGACUGAAACAAGUAAAACAAUACUUCUGAAAAUACACCACUUUGUCUUACGGUACCUCUCCUAUUUCAUCAGUCUCCUUAACUGUAAUGGUAUCAGUUUAUCAAAGAAUAAUUCUUCCUGCUAUCAGACGAGGACAGAAGUUCUUUAAGCUUCUUCCUUUCAUUCCUUACUUUCUUCAUAAUGAUUUCUCAUAAGAAUAUAAACAACAUUCACUGUUUAACAAAUAAUUGGUGUUAAUUAAACCAGUGUUGUUCAUUAAAACAAUCUAUAUGUAUCAACACUGUGAAAUGGUAAGUUGAAAUUUAGUGAUGUUCAAAAAUUUGUGAAGUGUUGCAAGCGGUUUCCUUCCAUUUUUCCUGGAAUAACAAUGUGAAUAUUUGAAAAGCAUUAAAUCUAAUUAUUACCAGAGGAAGCCAAAGAAACUCUACUGAAAAUUAGUUGUUAAACUGAACAAAUAUAUUUUCCACUCAGUUCCAUUAGAUGUGGAAACUCAUAUUUAGCUUUAGAGAUUUCAACACUAAUGUAAAGAAUUAAAGCAUAGUGCCAACAUUAUGUAGAGAUAAUAUUAGAAUUUUAUUAGUAUUUAAUGUAAAGCUUAAUGUAAAGAAGACAUGUUUAUAAUGCAAGGUAUUUGUUUCAGUAAUGGAGUUGUAUAGGUUCUCCUGGUGUUGCUAUAACAUAUAUUGGUGACAUAUAAAUCAUACUCUUGAACUGGAUCCAUUUCUUUUCCAAGCAAGCUUUGGAUGUUUAUCUCGUAAUAUCAAAACUUUCAUUUCUAAAAUAUAUUAACCAGACUUAAGUAAAUUCAAUAACUCCUAAAGUAAGAAUAUAUAUAUAUUUUCAGUUUAAAAGCCAGAAAACACAUUCACAAUGAGAAAUAGAGCAACUACAUUUUUUUAUCAUUAUUACUGGUUAUGGCAUAUAAAUGAAUAGUGAAUAGGCACUCUCUGAACUCCCUAGGGCUCAAGGCUACUAUAGGGACCAAACUUAGCAUAGUAAAUUUCUUAGUCAUAAAGCCUGAUUUAUUUAGGUACAGGGUCAUACAGAGUCUAUCACAUCAAUACAACUUGCUGUUUAAAACUUUGUAAAAAGUGUCAGUAGGAGUAUUUCAAGUUGUUUUAACCCAGCCACCCUCCCUCGUUACAAUGAUCCUCCGGUAAGCAGUAGGUUUAAUGACUGCAUCGCACACAUAUAUGCCCAGCUCUAACAUCUAUAAGAGAAAGCACCACUAUAAAGUCUUCUGGUUUUUUCCUACUUCCCAUUCUCAAUAAAUGUGAAAACAUGUGUCAGAAGAGCUUUCUUUAAAUUAGGGGAUAAGCAUGAUCAUAAAUAUAGGAAAAUAUUUAAUAAGCAUAACUUAAGCAUAACUUAGCUGUGCAUCUAGUAUCAAAGAAUGGAGUAAAGAGUAUCUCAAGACCUCGGGCAAAGGUAGUGUACACAUGUAGAGUUUACAAACAAUAUCCAUUGAAUGGUCAACACCGAAGCUGUUAUAUAUGAAGUAAAGACAUACAAUAGAGAGACAUGCAUACAGAAGUCUGUCAGGGCAAUAGAGAACCCCUUUUAGCCAGUUUCAGUAACCACUGAUCUUUUUUUAGAAAUCAAAAGAAGUGCAAUGUUACAAUGUUAGCCAGCUAUAUAUAUAGUCACUAUCAUAUAUAUAUAAUUACUAAUAUAUACAUAUAUAUAUAUAUAUAUAUAUAUAUAUAUAUAUAUAUAUAUAUAUAUAGUGAUUAAAAGAGGCAGCAACAGCACACAAAAUCAAGUGAAAAUUUCUGGAACAACUUAUCUGGAAGCAGAUGUUGCAAGCUUUAUUUGGGGGCAAAGAAGAUAUAUAUAUAUAUAUAUAUUAUCUGAAGUGUACAGUAUUAUAUAUCCCUCACAGCCAAUCUAACCAAUUGUCUAUGAUGGAUGUAUAAUACUGUACACUUUGGAUAAUAUACCCACUCUAUUGACAGAUAUAUGUGUGCAUCUUUUUCCUGACUUAUGGACUUUUAGAUGACUUACACAUGUACUCACAUGCUACCACACACCACAGAGUAUAUUGCACUAGAUCAUCCUGUCAAACUGUCUCACCCAUGCCAACAUCGAAGGUGGACAUUAAGCACUGAUUGAUGAUGAUGAUGAUGAUGACUGAGUGCUUACUUGAUAUCUGCCAGGUCAUUUUAAUGCCAUUUUUUCUUAUAUAUAUGUGUGUGUAUAUAUAUAUAUAUAUAUAUAUAUAUACAUACAGAGAGAGAGAGAGAGAGAUAGGUGUAAGAGACAGAACCACCUUCAAGCAACUCAAUCAACAUUGAACGACAUUAUCUAUGAUAGAGAUAUAUAUGAUUAAAUUUUAUCAAAAUUAAUAUCUACAAUUCUUAUUCUGAAUCCUAUAUUAAAUUAUAUAGACUACAUGCGUUUCAUGACAAUAUAUCUAUCGGUAUUGCUAAAAUAGAAGGUUUCGAAAUUCAAUACUAUAUCAAUCUUACUAUACUGCCAAUCUUCAGGUCUGGAUUAUAUAAAACUAUUUUACUAUUUACAUCCAUUAUAAAGACAUGACAAUCAAAAUUAUACAACCAGAAAUCGUCAAAAUAAUUUUUCAUUACUAAAUGAGGAACAAAAAGUUAAAAAAAUAAGAAAAAGAAAUGUUAGUUUAUCUUUUUGGUAAUUCCCUCGCCACGAAUUAAUCGUGGCUUCCAAAUGUAUAAUGUAUGAUCCAACCUUGAGAGCUCCAGUGUAGGGGAGAUAAUUCUUAUUUACAUUUACAAGUUCUUAAAAUAUAUUUGCUAUUUUAUAUAUUUACUGUGUAAGGGAAGUAAGAGAUAAAAAACUAGGAGAAGCCAGUAGAACUAAAGAAGCUUCAAUCCACAGAAAAUAAUUAUCAGAAGUUAUAAACGGUGUGCAUUUGUUUAGACAACAAAAAUGCUUAGGGACCUGGUAGUGUUAUGAAUGAAAAAUUUAUAUUCUGAUAAUUUCUAGUUCAUACAAUAUGAAUUAGAACACCGCUUUCUGUUUUUGCAAGCAAAGAUGAAAAAAAUAAUUCUUUGUGGUCACUUGAUGGUUUAAAGCACAGGCAGUAUGAUUUCCAUAUUGCCCAUCUGGAAAGUUAGUUUAUGCUGAAAGACACAACAUAAAAGGGUUCUUUCUCCAAAGGUUAGUGUUUGAUUUUGAAAGUCAUGUUGAAAAGUAUUUGUGUGAACAUUUUGUUUUGUCUGCCUUUCGGUGGAUUUGAUACUGUUUUCCCCCUGGUUUGAGGGGGAGAGAGUUGUGCUGUUAUGCAGUUGUAUUCCAACAGAGUUCUCUGAAGAGGAAUUGUUGAGAUGCAUUGAUAGCAUCGACAAGGUGAAGGGAGGAAGGAGGUUUGCAGCAGUGGCUGGUAAUUCAAGAGAGGAGGUGCAAAUAAGUAAGGAACAGUUGGAGAAAUUGAAAGACUUAAUAAAAAGAGAGGUGCACGAAAUUGUUGUGACCCUGGCAAAGGAGGAAGUAAGUCAUAGAGUGGAAAAGGAAACAGUUGUGUAUAAACUGUUUGAUUUGGAAAAGCAAAGAAUAAAGAUUGUAUCAAGGGAAAAAGAUAGAAAAAUAUCUGAAAGACAUUUGGAGCAACAUUACAUAUGUUACCAGAGGAAGCAAGUACAUCACAGUGGAGGAGGGGUUUAAAACAGAAGAAAGUGUCAAGUAUUAUUCUAUGACUUCCAGAAAUACAGCAGAGGUGGUGCUCUUCCCAACUUAGCUUGAGAGAUGAGCUUCUCGGAUAAGGGUGGAGGUUGGCUGGAUUGUGGCAGCUAUUAUAAUUAUCAAAGUCUUGCAAUGCAACUGGCAAGGGCAAAGGAUUGAAAUGAUAGUUGAGGCCUCCCCAGAAAUGCUAGAAAACAUAGUUGAGACCAUUUGGAUAGGCCAAGACAGAACAUUGAGAAUGUUAGUGGAGAGCAGGAAACUGCGAUGUUUCAAGUGUGGUCAGAAAGGCCACAUUAGCAUAGACUGCCCUCCACUACCAGCACUAACACCACUAGUUGGCCCCAGUGAAAAAUUAAUUGCACCUCUACUGACUGAAGGAGCGAGAAAAGUGGAGGAGCAAGAAACAGAGAAUCGUGAGUGGACGAUGGUGACCAGAGGAAAAAGAAGAAAGAGGAAAAGUUCACCACCUGAGGACUCCCGUCCCCAUCCUUCCCCCACUCCAGUCCCUCCAAUCCCCACUUUAACUAGUCCUUCCAAUGCAGACACCAAUCCCCUUCCUACCCCACCUGCCAAUAAUCCCAACCCUGCCCCCACAGAAACAUGCCAACACAACAAUUUAUCAAACCCCCAACACUCACCCCUAAGGAAAAAGAGACUCACCUUGGCAUACAAUUCGAGAAAUAGCAAACUGGGGACAGAAAUUUAAAAAAUCAACGUGUGGAAACCCAGAAAGAGUGGGACAAAAGUAUUGAAUUAAAGUUGGAUCAUGGCAAGUAAUUAAAAGUUCAAAAGACCACUUUCUACAUCUCUUCUCUCAUUCUCUUCUGUUCUGACUAAUUCUCUCUUUCCUUUUAAAUUCUGUUUCUUUCCCAAUCAGAGUCUUCUUCCUCCUGUGAUUUCCUCUCUCAUUGUUUCAGUAGACCUUUGGUCAACUGUAAAUAAAUAUAAUUCAUGUUUAUUUCAAAUAUAUUGAAAACCACAGAAUAUUACUAAUUCUGUGACUAGAUCUGAUCUCAAAUAGUACAACACUAUUCUAGCAAAUGUACAGAGUCAAAUAGGAAAGGAUUGAUCCUUUAGUAUACAUGUAUCACUCAUACAAAUGAUGAUACGACUGUCCAGAAAAUAAAGUGGUAGUUAUGGUGGGUACAGCAGAAAAGUAAAACGGUGGUAAUUUAUACAAAAAUCCUUUAUGGAAUCAACAGAGCUGGGACAUGGCUAACGUGAGGUAAACAAGGAAGCGUAUAAGAUAUCUGAAGCUCCAGAAAAUAUCAUGUAUCCAGAACGUUCAGUUCAUUUCCUUAAUGGGUAUUUGUGUCAGUAUGCAGACAUUCCUUAAAUACAGUUUAGGAUUUCAAUAAACAUAACUUGAAUAAUAUAAUCCAUUAACUUUCACUGCAGUAUUUUGUUCUUGUGAUUAAAGCAGACAUUUAAUAGAAUUCCUGUCUGUUUAGCCAUGUUGCUCAAUAGAUAUAAUUUACAAAUCUAUAUACACAACAAACCUUUAUAAUUCAUUCAUUUUUUUAUUUUUCUUUAGAUCUAUAUCAAAAGUCUUGGUGUCUUUGUAUUCACAAACAAAAAUAUGAAUUAUGCUGUAUAUAAUUUCUUAAUACAAUUAGUUUUAAAACUACCGUUUCACAGAAGUGCAACUGGUGAAGAAUUCUGCUGAAUUUCAUUUGAUUUAUUGAUUUUUAUCAAUUUAUUGUUUCAUUUUCCUACGUCAUUUUCUUUGCUGUUGUCAUUUUCCUAUAAAAUGUUAUAUGCUGUCUUCCAUUUUGUAAACACUUUAUCUGUAUGUGUGCAUAUCUGUGUGGAUCUGAGUAUGUAUAAUUGUGUGUGUGUGUGCGUGCGUGCAUGUGUAUAUAUAUAUAUAUAUAUAUAUAUAUAUGAAGGCAUGUGUAUGUGUUUGUACAUAUACAGGCAUGGCUGAAUAGUUAAGAAGUUCCCUCUGUAACUAUAUGAUUACAGGUUCAGUCCUACUCUAUGGUAUCCUGCUUAACUGUCUUCUAUUGCAAUCCUGGGUGAACAAAUGUAUUGCAAGUGAUUUUUGAUAGUCAGAAACUGCAGGAGGCUUGUUUAGACUCUACUUUUAACCCUUUUGUUACUGUAUUUCUUUUGAGAUGCUCUGUGUUUCUUUCAAUUAGUUUUAAAUAUAACAAAGAAUUUAGUAAAAUAACUUAAUUAUCAUUAAACUAGUGUUAGCAACAUAAAUUGUGACUAAGGUUUGGUGGAAGAUUUUAAUUCAGAACUUUUGUAAACAAGACAUUUGUACUACGGAGCCAGAACCGGUUUCAGCCGGGUUGGUAAUGAAAGGGUUGAACAGUAUGAAAGUGAGUUGCUUUGGCUUGCAAUAACUGAAAGGAUUUCUGUAAUAAUUAGCUGAUAAAUUAAUUAAAAUAUGAAACAUUCUAUAGGGUAGACAAAUACCGUCAUCAUCAUUUUAAUGACUGUUUUUCCAUUCUGUUGUGGAUGAUUUGGUAUGCCUGCCAUACAUCAAAUUGCUGCUCAUCAUUUUCUAGCUGCUUUUCCUUCUCUAGGCCCCUUUCUUCCUUCUCUAGGCCCCUUUCUCUGCCAUAGAACAAUAUAUCACAAAGCCCCCAUCAUCCAUUUCUUUCACAUGGAAUCUUGCUUUAUGGGCUAAAUUAUGAGGACAAGAAAUUAGAUUAUCUCUUUCACACACACAAGGAUCAUUAAUUGCCUUAAAUAUUCAACAGUUUCUACUUAAAGUUUGGGUGAUAAACAGGAUACAUUAGAAGUGAAAUGUGAUUGUGAAGGACAUUGUGAGAAGAUCUAAGGAUUAGUUAUUGGAGACUGAUUAGGUGAGAGAUGACAGAUGUACAGACAUGUGUAUUAUCCAGUGAUACUGAUAAUCCUAAGAUGUCCAUGUAUUAGCAAACAAUUUCCAGUUUGAAGGAGGCUGGCUAAAGUAACAUGCAUAUUUUGAAUGAACAAUAGAGGAGAUAAACCAACAUUGAAGCCUGCACAUGGUCACUUGAAUUGCUAAAAUUUGCAGCUAUAUCUCCCUCAAAAUAAUACAUCGCUUAUUGUAGUCCUAGAUAUUUUCUCUGAAUUAAAGAUAAGGAAACAUAUGACUAACGCAGUUUAAGACCCCUUCACAGCUAAUCUAAUUUCACAUUUAUUCUAAUUACAUAUUUCUUCCACCUUCACUUUUAUUCUGCUUUUAUACUUUCAACUCUCAUCACUAACUUCAUCAUAUUUCUCCAAAUAUGUGUUAAAAAUUUACUCUUACAGAAUGACUUGCUACAAGAAAAUUUAAGGAGAUAAUUUGGGCCUAUUUUCUUGAUAACAUUCUUUAUUUUACUUUCACUUUAUCUGAGAUAGAUUAAUUGGUUGGCAAAUAAACCACUAAGCAACGACUAAAACUAAUUCAAUACCUCAAAAUAAUCUAUUUUCUCAUAAUACAGUUGUUCUUGUUGUUAAGCACCAGAUCUUGAUUUCUAAGACUUACAAUCAACAAUGUCCCAGUUGUGACCUGGAUUUUCUUUUUCUCAGAUAUUUUAUAUCCAGACUUAAAUCCUCCAGUAUUCAUCUAUUCACUCAUUCUCUCUGCCGUUGAAGGGUUGUGUCUACAAUACAGUCUUAUCAGAAACAACCAUCAUUAAACUUUCCUGCUAGAUUCCCAGAUAUGACCAGCAGAGACUAUGGAUUAUUAUCCAGCCGUCUCAUUCCUGGUCCACCCCUAGGUUUCCUGCUGGUAAGCUCAGCCUGAAGAAUCUAUCUUCGGAUCCUUUUCUAUGACAUUCUAAUUACAUGUCUAUAGUACUGGAACUCUAACCUCAGCCUGGAGAUACUUCCUGAUCACAAAGCUACACACACUGUCAAGUAGCGUUACUCCUGAGAUUCUUUAAAGAAAUCCUAUUUUGGCUACAUGUGUAUGCGAUUGUAGUCUUUCAAUAAUUACCCAACAUUCACAACCAUCAGUGAGGAUAGCCAUGGAAACUAAAUGAUUUUCUUUCAAAAUUAUAAUUGGCUUUAUGCUUCUCUAUACAUUAGUAGCAUUUCUUCAACCUUCUCACUCUGCAACACAUUUAUAAAACCUAUGUCAGUAAUAAUCCAAGGUUUAUACAUGAAAUAUAACAAUUCAUCAUUCCAACUAGAACUCUUCCUCUGUAGAGUGAAUGUAGGAAAUCUUCUUCUCUUCAUUACAGCUGGAUACAAUAUCUUAGUUGUACUUUAAAAAAAAAAUCAAGGGGCAUUAAAAUUAUUACACUCAUUCAUUUAAAUCUGUCCCUUUCCAAUGUCAGCUUAAAGGAUUGAUAAUACAACAGAAUAGCUAUAACUAAAUGUCAUACCCACUUCUCAGAAGGUUUUUAUACUUGUUCAUACAUCCAACCCAUUAAGGUAAUUUUUAUCUGAAUUUAUUAUUCUAGCUUAGGGAUAAGAAGAUCCAUGUUUAGAAGAGAUGUAUCACUGUUCACUUUCACAAUUCUAAGACAUAAACUCUUUCACAGAAUUGAUAUCCUCUCCUUCCAAAUAUUUCUUACUUACAAUAAAUUAAAAUUUUUAUAAGCAAUCUCACACUGUCGUGAACUAUAUGCCUGUUGUGCAGGUAAUUGAAGAAUCUGCGAUAGUUCUAUAUUUACACCAUCUCAACUUCUGGAACCUUUUCAACAAAUCUUUCUUUUUUCUUAGCUGUAUUUCUACUUUUUUGCUUUUGUAUAAUUUGUAUAAUUCUCAUCUUGUUCCAUUUAGUGUAUCUAAUUUAAUUUGAAAUAUUGUAGUUAAUAUUCAGUUACAAUUCUAGAAAUUUGUGAGUGUCUUUAAAUAAAUAAGUAAAUAAGUGGAUGUAGAAGCAGGAGUCAAUAAUUGUGUUUGAUAUUUGUAAUAUAAGGAAAAAGAGAGCUGAAUAUCUUCCCUUUUGGACCCCAGUAAUGAAGAAACCCAUUUACUAUAAUUAUGCAAGAAGACAAUGUGAUAACAUUAUGCAAGAAGACAAUGUGAUAACAUUAUGAUAUCACAAUGUGAUAACUACAUAUGAAAUGACAAUGUGACAGCUAUAUAUAAUUACUAUGUGGUAACUAAAUAUGAAAUGACAGUGUGAUGACCGUAACAUGAAAUGGCUGUGUGAUAAACUAUGUAUGAAAUGAUAAUGUGAUAACUGUUUAAUAAAUACUAAUGUAGAUAAUUCUAUAAGACAAUAUUAUGUUAAAAACUGAAUUAAAGAUGACAAUAAAGAAGGAUAUCAAUAUGACUACAAUAAGGAAUGUUUAGUUUUUGAAGCAAAAAAGAAUCUUUUUAAAUCAAUUCAUUUAGCUGUUUGAAUCAUAUGUAAUUAAAAAGGAAAAAGUCACUUCAAGCAGAACAUUUAGACAAUGUUUUCCAAAUAUUUUGAACAUAGGCACAGGAGUGGCUGUGUAGUAAGUAGCUUGCUUACCAAUCACAUGGUUCCGGGUUCAUUCCCACUGCGUGGCAUCUUGGGCAAGUGUCUUCAACUAUAGCUUCAGGCCAACCAAAGCCUUGUGAGUGGAUUUGGUAGAUGGAAACUGAAAGAAGCCCGUCGUAUAUGUGUGUGUGCGUGUGUGUGUGAGUUUGUGUGUGUGUGUGUGUGUGUGUGUCUGUGUUUGUCCCCCCCAACAUCGCUGACAACCGAUGCUGGUGUGUUUACAUCCCCUGUAACUUAAUGAUUCAGCAAAAGAGACCGAUAGAAUAAGUACUAGGCUUACAAAGAAUAAGUCCUGGGGUCGAUUUGCUCGACUAAAGGCAGUGCUCCAGCAUGGCCGCAGUCAAGAUGACUGAAACAAGUAAAAGAGUAAAGAGUAUAACCAUAGCAACUGGUGGAUUUUCCAAUAUUCUAUGAGUUUUCUUAUUUUCAUUUUGAAUCCUAAAUUUACAGAUCUAUUUCAUUACUUUAAAGACUCUUAUCUUUCUUUCAUUUUAUUCUAUAGUGAAGUUUGUUUAAUGCAUAACACUUGUACACACAAACAUCAUUGCGAGCAGAAUAAAUAUUAAAGACUUUUUUUCUGCUCAAUGUAUUAUUCUUUAUAAUGUUUCCCAUUGUAAAUAAAGAUUGUUUGUAAAAGCUGUAAAGCUAGAACUUAGAUGUGAUAUAUUGUGAAAUACUGCAAUUUGUUCUAAAAUGCAAAUGAGAAAAUGUAGAAACACUUUUCUGGAGAAAUGGAUAUAAAUUAAUGAAAUAAGAUCGUAAUAAAAUAUGUAAAAAUCUUAAUUUUACUGAACAACAAUAUUCACGAACAGAGUCAAGAUAGUGAUAUCAAUUUUUGUAUGUUUUAAAUAUUAUUCAUAAGAUAAAUGUUAGUCAGAAUUCUUUAAAUUGACAACAAUCUUUGUUACUUACAUUUCUAGAUAAAUUUAACAGAUAAUUAAAUUUGUUUUUCUUAUUGUUAUUUCAGGAAGUUAAGUUUGCAUUAGAAGUUUAUGCAAAGAUAGUAUGAAAUCUAUAAAGGUUCUAAUAAUUACUGUUAAUUACUACUAUUAUUAUUUCAACAAUAUAAAGUACUAAUGCUGGUUUAAUUGAAUAAGCAACCUCCUGCUACAGUUGCUGUCUGUGUGUCUAAGUUAGAAACAGUUAUUAAAGAAAUCUUCAUCAUCAUCAUCAUCAUCAUUGCCACCUUCCUGUAGCAGAGAAGGAAGGCAGAUCUUUCUCUCUGCUUUGUGGCUGUGGAAAAAGAGGCUGUGUGGUUUGAAAGGUUUGAAGACAGGCACUUUCUUAUCUGGUCAAGCCCUCAUCCAUUUCUCCAAAGAUCAUUUGAAAAGGAAGGUGAGAGUAGGGCAGGAGCUUUUACUGCCCUUUUAGUGUGUUUAUCAAAAGAUGGCUGACAGUGGCAAGACUGGUGAGACGGAAUGGAUUGACUCUGAGUAUGUUUUUCUAAGCAGGAGGAAAGAAACUGGAAGAGGGCACUUUCCUAUGCCUUGGGGAUCACAGCGUAAUCCAGGAUUUUAGCAUGGGGUUUACCCUAAGUGGGCUACCCUGCUAAUGAGGAUUCUUAUUAUCUAUUUAUUAUUUAUUUCUCUAAUUUAUAUUAUAUAUCCCCUGUUAUAUCCCUUAAUAUGGCAGUAUCUCACUUUGAUCAAUGUAAACCCCACCUGUUUUCUUUGUUUUGUUUUGUGUGCUGUAACUUGACCUUCCAUAUUAUCCACCAUGUCUUGAGCCCUUGUAGCCAAUAAAAGAAAUCAUUAUUAUUAUUAUUAUUAUUACUAUAAGGUGGCAAGCUGGCAGAAUUGUUAGCAUGCUGGGUAAAAUGCUUAGUGGCAUUUUUUCCUGUCUUUACAUUCUGAGUUCAAAUUCUGCUAAGGUUGAGUUUGCCUUUCAUCCUUUCGGGGUUGAUAAAAUAAGUACAUCAACUAUUCCCCUUCCCCCAAAUUUUGGGCCUUGUGCUUAUAUUAGAAAGGAUUAUUAUUCUUCUUAUUAUUAUUAUUAUUAUUAUUAUUAUUAUUAUUAUUAUUAUUAUUAUUAUUAAGAAGGCAGUUGGGGGCUGGCAGAAUCGUUAGCAUGCCAGGCAAAAUGCUUGGCAGCAUUUCAUCUCUCUUUAUGUUCUGCCAAUGUCAACUUCACCUUUCAUCCUUUUGGGGUUGAUGAAAUAAGUACUAGUCAAGUGCUGUAGUCAAUGUAAUCAAACCAACUUCCCCCUCCUCUGAAAUUGCUGGCCAUGUGCCAAAAUUGGAAACCGUCAUUAUUAUUAUUAUCAAUAAACUGGUGAGCUAGUGUUAGCAUUUCUGUUGUCACUGAAACCGAGUUCAUUGCCUGAGCAAUGAAUAGUCUUGAGAGUCUGACUGUCUCCAGUUGUAGUGUCCCUCUCUGACUGACUUGAAGCUGCUGCUUAGGACUUGCUUGAAGGUCACUGUCUUAGGACACUGGGGGUGUAGGGUAGCUAAAUCCCAUGUAAACAGGUUGGAUUGGUUUAGGGGACAUCGUAGACCCUCUGGAUCAUGAACUCGAUCCUGUACAGGUUCCUUUUUCAGAUGUUGUGCCAGGUGACAUUCCACUCCCUUGCCUGUUCCCACUUCAUCUGGGUACCCUCCUCAUCCCCACCAUUCUGCCUGCUGCUCUUUCUCUACUGAUACUUGACUGUCCACUUCCACUGUGGAGAGUGGUAGUUGAGGGUUUGCCUCUUGUACCUUGGGUAGAACCUACGGAACCCUGGGCAUUACAGAAAUAAACAGAAGAAAAGCCAACAAGAACAACAUACGAAGUGGUAUCAAAAAGUUCCUGGAUCAGUUAGGUUUAAUAAAAAAUAACUUAUUUACCUACACUUUAAUAUCAUCUCCUUCACAGUAAUACACUGGUUCCAAUGUUCUUGCAAGUUUGGGAAUCUGGCCUGGAAGUCAGUUUCCUUCUGCAAUUUGCCCUUGAUCUUGAGCUGCAUUUUCUUCUUGGAGAAGAGAUGGAAGCCUGCAGGUGCUAAAUCUGAUGAAUAAGGUAGAUGUGGAAGGGAUACCAUGUUGUUUUUGAUGAGAAACUCAUAAGUGAGGAGAGCUCAGUGAAAGGGUGCAUUGUAGUCAUGAAGAUGCCAAUUCUUCAGGCUCUGCAGAUCCAAUUGCUUCCACCAAAUGUCCUCCCUCAAACACUUCAAAACGUUGUUGAUUGUCCUCCAAUGAUCCUCAUGCUAAUGAACUUUUUCCAAAUUUCUGGGGGUAACAUUUAUGGCAGUUCUCCAGGCUGCUCAUCAUCUUUCAGGAAUGUUCUUCUACUUUUGAAGUGCCUCAUGCCACUCAUAUGACACACUGCCUUGCCACCGUAAGUUUGCUGAAGCAUGUUCAAUGUCUCUGUGUCAGACUUAUAACAUCUAGUGUAAGGCAUUGUCUUUUCUAUGUCAUAAAUUCUGAUGCCUAUAGUGCUUAAAUUUUCUAUCAGUCUGAAUGCCAAGACCCCACAAGCUUUUUAGUUUACCAUAUUCAUUUGAAGCCUUUUCUGGUACAUGAUUGUACCAUUUGUCUAAAAAGUAUCUGCCCAUACUUUUUAUGUGAUCCAUUAAAAAGUAAGGUAUAAACCUUGGCAUUUCUUGUAUUCUUUCUAAGCUAGCAUUUUGCAGCUUGGUCAAUGUUUUCCACUGGCUGAUUACAUAAGUGACACUUCUUUGUUGUAACAACAAAAUAAUUAGUGCUUAGAACUUGACCUUGAACAAUCCCAAACAAACUGUUAGCUUCUCUCUUUAAAUCUCCUUUUCAGAGCCACUCGUCUGAUGUCAUGAUUUUCCACAUACUUGGUAUCUUUAUAGAACAAUCCAUGGAACUGUAUUUCUUCUGGCAUUUUUAUUGCUAUUCAUAAUACAGCAUUCGAUUGGCUGAAUCACUACACAAAACACUCAUUCUGGCUCAUUCUGGCUCAUUCUGUUCAAAUUACUCACCUUAUGCAUAAAUUGGAAUUAUUAUUGUUAAUAAUAAUUUGAGUUUUUAUAAGUAGCUGUUGUUGCUUUUAACAUUGAUAUGCAAAUUCCUUUCUCUCUCAUCUAAUGUUUCUCCCUGUUUCUGGGGGUUUACAGGGGAAAUAGAAUUUGCUCUCUGUUGAGCCUUGUUUGGUCAGUAGUAUGAGCAGUUUAACCCUCUCAUGACAAGUAUAACCAGCUAUCAUUACUCUGGUUAUCCCCAGUCUAAUCCCUAUUCUCCUUCUUAGAAUUUUUGCACCCUCUAAACAAAUAUUAGCAAUCCACUGUGAGCUACCCCCCUCUCCAAUCAUGGCAAACCCCACACACCUAAUGAAUCUACUAGUCUACAGUAGUUCAUUAUAUAAAACAUUUAGGGUACUGGCAACUGGAAUAACAGGGUGAAAAUAGUGGGGUUUAUAGGAGGGGGAACUGGAGAAAGUUUCUACCACUCCAUUGAGACUUCAUUAGAAAAUUUUAACAGAUUAGAGAGAAAGAUGAGAACUAGAUAAAAUAGUCCUUUUAUAAUUCCUCAGUCAAUUAUAAAAGACAUAGAUUGAAUUUAUUGGAAUUGACCUAAACCAAUUAGGAUUAUUAAAUGACAUAAUCCAGACUGUUAGCUGAACAAAUACAUUUUUAUAGACUUUAUCAAUGUUGAACAGCAGUCAUUAGCACAUCAUUAUCACUAUCACCAUGACAACGAUAAUUAUAGUGAUGAUUUGAAAUGUAAUGGUGGCUAAAAGCAAAUAGUCAUCAUCGUCAUUGUCUUUUCAUUUCUUUUAACAAUUUAGUCCAGCUGCAUUGUCUACUAGUGUAAUCAAUAUGACUGUUGUGGAGACUGUUCAGGGGGUCUAAUUAAGAAUCGAGUUGAAACGCUUGCAACAGAGUGAACUUCCCUAAAGACAUCGAAGGACUAGGGUGGGAUGUUAAACUGGGUGGCAUCCAGCCAUUAAACAGAACUAGUGUCCAGAAUAUUCUUUCUCAGCUACCGUGAUUGCUCAUGUGCAACUUUCUAUCCUUUUAAAACGUGCUCUGUCAAACAGACACCAGGCAUGCAUCAUUGUUAAAACAUGUUCAAGUCCAUCUUAAGGCUACAGACUCAUUAAGCAAGAGCUCUUCCUAAUUUCCAUUACUUGCUCCCGAAGAAAAAAAAACUAAAAGAGAAGAUGUUGUAGUGAAAAUGGUACACUCCUUCCUACAUAACAAAGUGGAAGGAUACAGCCACUAUGAAGUCAGAUAGUCAGUUGUUGUAGGGGGUCAGUAGUAGUAGAGUCAUUGUACGAGUUCCCAGUUAGAGUCGGUGUCAGUUGCGUGAUAUAUAUGAGUUUGAGUUACCGUCAAGGUAGACAUUAUAGGUCAUUGUCUUGGGGAGCUAUGAGCGAUAGUACGAUAGACGAGUCAAAGAUAAUAAGAUGCGAAAUACCACCACAACAUAAUAGUGGUGACAAGAAUAUUACAGUGCUGACAACAACAGACAAGUGGACGAGGAUCCACAUUAUAACAACUUCAUAUGAUAUCCUGAUAUGCCAAAGUUUCAUGUAUUUCAGAUAGAAUUAUUUAGAUAAAGACAAGCUUCUAUUUCUUCCACUUUUUUAUAUUUUUCAAAAGACAAAAUGGAGUAAAACAUAUCAAAUAUAAAUAAAUUCUGUCUAUUUUCCAAGAGACAGCUGCAAAUUGGUCAAAUCUUUUGAGAAUCCACCAGUCAAUUAACAUUCAUUAAACAUUUCUGAAACAAGAUGAAGGAAUUUCACUGACAAAUUCCAGAAUAACUUGUUAAUAGUUCUUUGAAUCUAAGAAUAUGAUUCCAUAGUAUAAUUCUUGACUUGUCACACACACAUGUCUGAGAAUGCGGUUAAGAUUCAGGCUAAAAAUAGUCUACUUGGAGGGAGAUAGCUUCCUUGGUAACCAUGUACUUUAAUAUAUUCAAGACAUGCUGAUUCUUGUGGGAAUUGCAUAUUUCUAUACUCUUGUAGUUAACAUUCAAAGUUGAAGCACUCUAUUUAACAUACUGGAAAUAGCAGCUAAGAUUCCUGUCUUGGAAAGAUGUUAGUUAUUGUAGUCCUUGAUACACAGUUCCCUCAAGAAAAACAAGAUGAUUAUGAUUGAAAUAUUAUUGAACAAAAAUGAAUUCAGUUAAGCAAUAAUAGCAACCAAUGGUUCAACUUCUAUGCUGGAGUGAACACAACAUGUUUUUUUGUCUAUCUCCUUAACUUCUUGGAGAUUUUAGGUAUAAUUAUACUAAUGUGUCCAUCUGUUCUAAUUUAAUUAAAUUCUAUAUCUUUGUGCAGCUGAGGAUUGCUCUGCAUUUUAACUUGAUGUAAUGAUUGCAUUGUUCAAUUAGAUGGAGUUGCAUGAAACGAUCAUACUGCAUUACCUCUGGAUAUCCUUGUUGUUUAUUUUGAUUUUAAUCACUCCAUUUUGAAUUAUAUGGAUACUACCGUACGAAAUUCUGGUACCUCAACUUAAGUACCAUAUUCAUCUGAUAUAUAUAUAUAUAUAUAUAUAUAUAUAUAUAUAUAUAUAUAUAUUUCAGUUUCCUUCCACCAUAGACAAGAUGUCUACCACUCACAAGACUUUGGUUGGUCUGGGGCUACAGCAGAAUACACUUUCUCUAGGUGCUGGGCAGAGGAAUAGGAAUUUAGAUAAGGUUCAGACAACUGAAGACUUACAGUUUUGACCUAGUAAGGCCUUAUUUAAUAUGGAUAGAACUGGAAAUUUUCUGUUGUUUAAGCCACAUGUUAGGAUUUCCUCGAUUGUUUUAUCCACAUGGUCUGUCUAAGGGCUCCAUAGUGAGGGAAACAAUAUCAUAAAAACUAUACUUUAAUGAGGUGGUCUAAGUCUGGCAUGUACAGAAUUGACAGUUUUUACCAAAGAUUAAAACUUCCCCUGCCAUUAACCCACAAUGUCACAAAACUUCCUAAAGAUUGGACCCUUUCCCUCCAUUCCUUGCCCUUGUUGUCACAAUACUCACUAAAGAUCCAUCACUACAUAGCCUCCCUAUUUAAUUUUUAAUCAAAGGCUCUGCCUUUCUUGACCAAAAUUAAUCAUUAUGCUAAUGAUUUAUCUCCUCAUUAGCAUGUAAUUUUAAUUAAACUUCUUUGACUAUCUUAAGCUUCUGUCCAUUUACAUCAGAUCUCUGUGUUUCUUCCUGCUUAUUACUGCCAGUAAAUUAUCUCUAUCUGUUCUAUCAAUGAAACUAAAUGGAACCCUUCAUUAAUCUCUCUUUAUCUACAAUCACAUCUACUGCUAUUACCAUAAAUCUUCUUCCUCUUAGUGCUUCUUUCUCACCAAUUACUAUCGGGAUACUUAACUACAGAACAUCACUCAGCUGAGACAAAGGCUUUUAAAACAAUUUGUAUUACAUUUCACUGUAACAUUUCUAUAUUAUUAUUAUUGGGUUUUCGUUUUUUAUUGAACAAACAGAUACUUUUUGUUUUACCAUCAUAGUGAGUUGUGCUGCUCUGGGUCUGAUGUGGCCUGCUAGAGUUAUGCAACAUGGCUGGCGUUGCUUAUGGCUUGAGUGGGCUGUUAAUUAAUUGAUGUGGUACAUCAUGUGUAGCCUGACAAACACUGAUAUAUCAUUCACAAUGUUAAAAAACCGACUUAUGUAUGGAGAUGGGAUGUUCUGGUAUGUGUGGAGGGAUGCUUAGUAGAUACUUAAACAAAAGACUGGGAAUUAUUUAGUUUUAGUGAUUCUUAUAGGAACAUUGGUUUUAUAAAGAAAAAAAUUUCAAACAAAAUACUUCUUUCCUUGCUAUUGUUGAUAUCUUCAAACUGGUUUGCAUUAUAAGAAAGUGGAUGUAAAUUUGACUUAAUGGUGUGAAAUUUUUGUUUCUUAGUUUUAGACUAAAUUUCAACCAACAAUUUAUAGUAUAGCAAGACAACAGGAUAAUGCCAUUAGUAGGAGAGGUUAAGAAGGUAAAGGAGAAGGAUGAAAUACUGUAACUGAAUGAAUUAAGAGAAAUUAAGUUAAAAGAAGUUAAAAGCAAUGAAAACAAGACAAAAAAAGGUGACAAAUUUUUUAGAAAAUUCUUUCUUUAAAAUCUCAAAAGUUGCUUAAAGGAAAAAUUGCUUCCCUUAAUUGAUGCAGUUAGUAUUUCAUGAUCCUCUUCUAUCUUCCUAACCUAUCCUACUAAGGGUGUUGCACUGUUGUCUUACUAUACCCUAACCCUGUCGUCUGAGAUAUAUCAGCGCAUUAUCCUACAAAUUAUAAUUUGACAUUUGUAGCCUUGGGCAGAAAUUCCAUCAUGUCUAUGAAGCUUCACAAAACUCUUUUUUAAUUAAACAGUCAGAUUCUUGUGAUCUGUACAGAUUCAGAGUCAAUCCACUUCUCUACUCUUCUACAAAUGCAAUGCUAAUAGUAACUGCUGACCACCAAAGAUAAGACCUAAAGCUGUUCCUUUGAUAAUCCACAACUACAAUCUUGAAGGAGAGAAUCAUAUUCUUAAUUUUUAAAUGUAACUGAUCAUAUGAUAGAGCUAACGAUCAAGGAGUGGUUUGUUGAGUAGAUAACCAAGCUUUGGUAAAGUUUGUUUUUCCUCACAACCAAAUCAGAUUAGUCAAACCUGACUGGAAAUGAUCAACAAUUAAAUUUCUAUAAUUUUCAUCAAAAUGUAUGAUUCUGUAAACCCAUUCUGGGCCGUCUUAUAUUCAAGUCAUUUGACUGCAGGCCACAGAUGGACUCUAUCUUUUUACACUACUUGAUGAAAGAUAACACUCAAAAGUUCUAUUAACAAUAUAUAACAGAAACAUACUAAGGUAAGACUGUACAUAUUAUGCAUCAGAUGCUUGCUCUGUCCAGCCAUCCGUUCACUCUGUAGACUUGUAUCACAGUCCUAAUCUUGUAUCAUAAAAGUCAGGCUGAUCUCUGCCUGUCUGUCCAUCACAACAUAGAUGUAGAAAGGCAGGGGGGGGGCAAGAACUGAAGUCAUGUUUCAGCUUUAUUAGACCACAUCAGUGAAGCAUCAAAGGUGAAAGAUACAAUUCAAUAUUUCAAUUGUCAAAACUGCAGCUGUAUAUCAUGUUGUAUGCUACAUCUAUGUGUUAACUCACUUAGCUUAGUCACAGGGUUUUGUGAGUCCCUAAUUUGUCAAAUCUAUCAAAAACUGAGACUUGCUUUCUGCUGUUGUUAGAAAAGCUCAAUUACUGCCAAGUAAAUUCUGCUUUAUUUUGAAAUAUUUGCAAAUAUCCUCCCAAACACAAAUACUAAUGAAGUAAAAAGAAAAUGUAUUCUAAGAUUGCUACCAUAUUUGGAAAGAUUCCAGCUGAAUUUUCUGUGUUUUUUUACUCUGUAAGAAGUUGUAUGUUAACAUGUAAGGUCCUUGUAUCAUUUAGUCAAUCUGUUUAUCUGACUGGCAAUUGUUCAUGUUUACAUUCUUUACAACUGAUUUUUAAAACAAGAAACAGUUAACAAUAAAUUUUAUAAAAUCUGUUUAAAUGUGUUCUGUGUUUCAAACGACAGAAGAACUGCUUCUUAAUAAAAUUACUGGGUUUCAAACAACACAACACUUUAUAUCAUUGCUGUGUUGCAAACUCCCCAAUAUUUUAUGAGAAAUUUUUGUGUUGUAAAUUAUUCAAGAGGCACAGGAGUGGCUGUGUGGUAAAGUAGCUUGCUUACCAACCUCAUGGUUCCGGAUUAGUCUCACUGCGUGGCACCUUGGCCAAGUGUCUUCUACUAUAGCCACAGGCCGACCAAAGCCUUGUGAGUGGAUAUGGUAAUAUGCUUCUUGUUCUGACUUCAAAUUCGGCUGAGGUCAGCUUUGUCUUUUAUCCUUUUAGGGUCAAUAAAAUAAGUUCCAGUUGAGUACUGGGGGUCGAUGUAAUCGACUCACUCCUUCUCCCCAAACUGCUGGCCUUGUGCCAGAAUUUGAAACCAAUAUAUGUCAAAUGUAUGUAUAAUCAUGUUUUACAUGUCAUAUGUUAUUAUAUAUGUCAAAAUUUCAUAUAUAUAUAUAUAUAUAAAAUAAGAUUCAGAUGAAUAAGGUACUUAAAGGUAAGGCAUCAGGUUAGGUCAGAAUUAAAAUGCAUACACAGGAAUUAUAGAUGAAUACCAGCCUUGGUACAGAAUUACUGGCAGAACAAUAUUCAGGUUAUGUAAACAAUUACUUGAACUUAACAGAGUAUAUCAUCAACCCUUGGGCUAAUUCAGAAAUGCACAUUUUAUUAAAUAUACAUGCCAAGUAUACUUCAGAACAUGUGAGAGGCAGGUUCUGAGAGUGGUGAAUUAUAAAUAACAAAUGAUGGAUAGAUGUCAACUCAUUGCCGCCGUUUCUAUCAAACUUUUUAAUUGAUUAAUGAAUACAUUUAUAUCGUUAUAAAAAAAGUUCUCUUAAAAUGAAUACACAGAUCUUGCAAUUAAGAUCAUUAAAAAAAAUUUUUGAUCCAUGGCACAUACAUAUAUAGUGAUUUCAUUAUCAAUGCUUGUUGUAAAAUCUUUCCAACCUGUCUGAGAUCACAGCUGUUUCUAUGAUACAAACUUUCUAUUAUAAAGUCAUCUAAAUUAAAAUCUUCCAACAAAAUUUCAAGUUAAUCUAUGUUCCCAAACACCAACUUAAUAACGACCAUGUAAUUUUAUUAAAUCCUUCAUUAUUUUCAAAAUUAAUUGGAAUAAAGACUGUACUUCCACAAAAAAAACCUCUGACAAUGUUGUCAAUAUGAUUGUAGUAGAAAUAGUUCUUUGACCAAUAGUUUAACCUGGGGCUAAACAAUAACAACAAAAAAAAAAACAAUGGAAGCUUCACACUGUUACUCAAGCUGCAAGAAAUAGCAGUGAAAUUUCUCUCAAAUUACAUCUUGUCAUCUUGUAAGAAAAAACAUGCUAGAUACUGUGGUCUUUGUUGAGAAGCAUGCUGGGAUAUUUGUAGUCAUAAGUCAACUUGAUUGGAGAGGAUAUGGAGCUAAAUGACAAUGGUAACAAUAAAAGACAGCGAAAUUGAGCAAUAAAAUAGUUCUUGUUGCUGGAAACAUCCUUGAAAACAUUUGUAAUUGUAGAUUCUGUAAUGUUCCGUUAGACAUUAUCGGUCAAAUUGAUUCUUAGAUUUCAAAUAUAAAAUACGGAAAUAACAUGGUAGCCAUUUUGAGGAAGUUUGUCUGACAUAAAUGGUGUCAUAAAGGAGGGUUCUUUUCAGUUCUGAAAUUACUCAUAGCAAUAAUUAUUUUCUGCAAAGAAUUCUUCAUGAUGUAUACUUACAUCGUCUAGCUAAAUGGAUGUUUCUAGAAAAUGUCCAUUCUUUUUCUUUUUGUGAUCAAGUCCUGUGUCUCCUUAAAUAAUAAUGAGCACAAAUCUCUCUCUCUCUCUCUCUCCCUCUCUCUCUCUCUCUCACACACACAUACACACACACACACACAUACCCAAGGUGUUUCUUUUGUUUUUCUUCUAUAAAGUUUAUAAUGACAAUAUUUUGACCCUGUUUUAUAUGACCACUGUAACCAUAAAGGCACAUGGCUCAAUGGUUAGAGCAUCAGGUUUACAAUCAUGAGGUAGUGAGUUCAAUUCCCGGGCUGGGCUAUCUGUUGUGUUCUUGAGCAGGAUACUUUAUUUCACGUUGCUCCAAUUCACUCAGCUGUAGAAAUGAGUUGUGAUGUCACAGGUGCCAAGCUGUAUCAGCCCCUUUUGACUUUCCCUUAGAUAAUAUCAAUGGUGUGGAGAGGCGAGGCUGGUAUGAGUCGGUGACUGCUGGUCUUCCAUAAACAAUCUUACCUGGACUUGUGCUUCAGAGGGUAAGUUUCUAGGUGCAAUCCCUUGGUCAUUCAUGACCGAAGGGUGUCUUUACUCUCUUUUUUUACUGUGACCAUACAUUCAUAGAGUGCCUGCUUAGCUGGUAUAUAUCAAGCUUUGUUCUAUACUUUACAAUAUAUUCUUGACAAUCAGAAAUAUCCACGAAUAUCUAUCUAUUUACUGUUAGAAUACUGCUGUAAAAUGUGUGUGUGCACUAGAAAUCGGUGUUUGGGAGACUGUGAAACAAACAGAAGUGAUGAAAAAAGAUGAGAAAACAUAAGUAAAUAAAUAAAUACAUCAUCUAAUUAUGUAUCUUUUUUUUAAUUUUAUUCCAGAGGACUGACAGUGAAUCCACAUGAAUGAAGUAAGUCAUUUUCUAAUAUUUCUAUUUUGGAAAUAGAUGAAUAUUUUAAUGUUAUUGAUGCAGAAUUUAGUCAAAAUAUAUUCCUGAAGUGGAAUAGAAUUGAAUUUGGUUUUAUUUAAUUUUCUUACAUCUGAAACAAGAAAGUGUGGUCACAAUUAGAAUUGCUUCUUGGUAGCAAUGCGUAAAUGAUGUAUCUAGAUAUCUCAUGAGACAUAUUUGAAGAUGUAUAGUAUUAUACUUCCUGUACAACAUUCUUUUUUUUUCUGUUCUUUCCUUCUUUCUACGUUUAUUUUCAUACCUCCAUAUCUAUUAUCACAGUUCUAUAUAUAUCUACAUAUUAUCACAGUUCUGUAUACCUAUAUGGUAUACUCAAUUUAUACAAAGGAUAGUCCUGAAAAUUGAAAUCCAAUAGAAUGGGGAACAUGCACCUAAAUGAAAUAAUACAGGUAGAAUCUUCCUGUGAAAGCUUCUGUAAAAACUGACCAGACAUAAUGAUCUGAGAGAGACAAAGGAAGGAGCAUGAGUGUGCAAAGCCGAAAAUGGCUGCUAUUUAAGCAAUGACAUUUUUCAUAAGUGAUGUAGAGGUGUUGCAAAAUAUGACUUGUGCAUAUUAAUUCCCAUUAUGUCUUUUAUAUUGUAUCAAAAUUCUAUGCAAUUAUUUGUAAAGUUAAGGAAGUUAUGAAAAAUUGAAACCUAUCAGUGACUUUUGGGACAUCCUGUAUAUAAGAUGCAAAUUAUGAAAUAGUGAAUGUUCUCAGGAAUCUAAUUAUUUCUUAAUUGUUAAUUAAUUAAACAAAAAGAAAAUUUCAAGCUUAAUCUGAGCAUAAUGACAACAAAAUCAGUUAUUGCUGUAUUAAGAAAUGUAUUAAGAAUAAAUAAAUUUUGUAACUUCCUGGAAGCUUUUUAAUGGAUAUCAUCAUUUAACAAUCGUCACUUAGUUUCAUUUAGAAUAUAUUGAGAUAUGUAGCUUGAAACAAGCAUCUGUGUAGUUUGAGAGUUUAAUGUAACAAUAAUGGUAAUUGAUGCUAACUCAUUAUGGCAUUGUCAUUUGUAAUACUUUCAGCUGGAAUCUUAGUAUAAACCAUUUUAUUGUUGAUAUUUCAAAUCAUUUGGGUUUAUAAUGCACAUCCAAAAUAUAGCUUAGACAUACAAGAAUUGCAGAAUACCUAAAAUUCCCAAAUUUCCAUAAAUUUAUUUUUCAAGAGAUGAGAAUGACCAGAUGUCUUUGAUAUUUUCUCUCUUCUCUUUCAUCUGAUCUCUGCUAAAUCAUUAGUUUGGUGUUAUUGACUUUGCAAUUAUCUUGUAUGUUUAAUUAGCAAAGUGGGAGAGAUUGUAGUAACAUGUACUAAGAUUUCAUGCUGUCAUGAUGUAUAAUGAAAUAUUGUCUUCAUUGACAUUGUUAACAAUAGAGAAAGAUAGGAAUCGAAUUUAUGGGGAAUUCAAAAUUGGAAAUUGGGAUUUUGAAACUUUCCCAAGGGCCAGGGAAAUAGCUUCAACUAGGAACUGGAAUACACUUUCAGAUUGAAGUCUUCAAAAAAAAAACUUAUUCUUUAUAACAUUGGCUGAGAGAGAGAAAGAGAGAGAGAGAGUGUGUGUGUGUGUGUGAUAAGAUAUUGAACUGUUACAAACCACCGUCGUCAUCACCAUCAUCAUCAUUUUAUGUCUGUUAUAAAGCUGGCAAAGGCUGUAUAGGUUGGUAGGGUCCACAUCAGUUGUUGUUCAGAAUUACUGUCCUCUUAGACACAUAUCUCACUCAUACAGUUGUGGUAUGACUCUUUGGUUUCCAGCAGUUGGAUGCUCUUCCUAAUAACGGUCCCUGGGUGCAUUUUCAUGCUACCAGCACAGGGAAUUCGUCUUCUCCAUACCAUGCCUCUGAGUGUACUGGAUACACCUGCUUGUAGCACCAGCAUGAUGAGAUCGUCUUAAACCCUGCAAAGCUUUCUGUUGUAUAUUGUCCUAAUUCAUUCUAGGCAAUGUGACCAAGAGAGAGAAUAUGGGACAGUGCAAUGACAGAAAAGCCAGGACAAUCAAAUAAAGAAAGAGAAAGAGUAUGAGAAGAGAAAUAGAAUGGUUUGGGCAAGAGAGUGUUAGAGGUGGGAGUAAGAGAAGAGAGACAGUGAUGGUUGUUAAAUGUUUAAUGGAGUGUACAAUGUAAAUGAACAAAGUUUAUAUCAUAAAAAGGAUUGGCCAGAAAAAGUUAUUAACCAUGUGGUGGCAUUCUCAAAGGAAUUUAUCUUGAUGUGGUACGACAGAUCCUGAUUGGUCCUGAAACCAAGGAUGCCAGGAAAUUGGUAAUGAACCUCUGCUGUUAUUGGUGACAUGGAAAAUAGAGGUGGUGGUGUUUUUUUGUCAGGAUAGUAACGAUGGUGAUGUUGUAGGAAGAAGUUGUGUUAGUGAGGAUGGCAUUACUGGCAAUAGUAGUGUAAAUGGCGAUGGUGGUGGUUUCUGUAUUAAAUAGGAUGUUCAUGGUGGUGGUGGUGGUGAUUGUAUUUUAGGUGGUGUUGAUGAUGAUGAUGUGAUGUUGUUCAUGGUGGUAGUUGUAUCAUAGAUGGUAACUGAAUUGUAGAUGGUGGUGGUGGUGGUGGUGGUGGCAGUGGUGGUGGUGGUGGUGCUGCUGCUGCAGCACAACUGAAUAACUAAGCUCUUUGAACAGGUAACCACCUUAAAUAUUCCUAAUUAGAAUGUUAAAUACUUGCAAUGCUAUUAAUAUCAGUGUAACAGAAACGUUGAGAACUGUGACUAAUAUCGUUUGUUAAGUUUGUUUCUCUAUCAGUUGUCAAAUCACAAUUUUUAUUGAGUCUGGACCAACUGAAAGCUUCACAGCUUGAUUCUAUAUUUGUUCAACAAAGAUAAAACCAUCAAAACUAGUAAAAAUGACAGGAGGAGGCUGGAGAUUCAUACAUUUGGUUCUCUGGUCCAAGAGCUUCUGUUGAGUCUGUAUUUGCUACCUCCCUGCUUCUUUGUACCCUCUCACUAACCUCUCUCUCUCUCUCUCUGUCCUUGUACCCUCUCUACUAUACAGCGAGUAACUAACAUUGGUACUUUGUACUAACUCUCCUCCUCUACCACCAGCUCCCCUCCACCCAUCCUGUUUCCUUAUCUUCCUCUCAUCCCCUCCACCCAUCCUGUUUUUUUACAGUCAUUGAACUCAUUGCUAUUCAUAUUCUCAGUCUGCACCCUGAAAAAUGUAGUCUCCUCAGGUCUAGAGGCCAU